rnacentral:lncRNA from 1 species
GUUUUUUUUUGUUUUCUACUACGUUUCCUAACAUCAUGACACAACUAUUUGGAGGGCAAAUCCUAACACUCAGAAUUAUGCUUUCUGGACUGCAAUUUUGAAGGUAAGGCCUCUUCUCAUUUCAGCAUCUAUUUAUCAAAUUGUAGAUGGCAAUAGUUCAUUGUGGACCACCCCUUGGUUUGAAGAUUGGGAAAACAUCUAUGAUAACCUCAUCAUACAACCCCAUCCUUUUAAUUACCCUGCUCAAAUUAUGGACCUCUGGAUUCUUGGGCGAAAAGUUUGGAAUGUUAAUCUAAUUAAUAUGUUAUUUUCUCCUACUAUAGCUGAUUCAAUAAUUCACACUCUGUUUGUCUGUACUGCUAGCCAAGACAUUGUUCUUUGGAAGCUAACUCCUACAUGUCUAUUCUCUUACAAAAGUGCAUACAAACAUGGCUUUGCCAAUCUUCAACUUCCUUCAAGACAGAGACCAAAAAUUGUACCACCACAGACUAUAGCAUUGCUCAACCAGGUAUGGAAAGAGAAACAUAUGGCUCCACGAGUCCAAACCUUUGCUUGGAGACUUUUUAGGAAUGCACUUGCUACAGGUAAAAGGGCAGGUACUUACUCUAAAUUUAUUAGUGAAAACUACACAACUUGUGGAAAUACUGAAGAUGAAAUGCAUUUUUUUCUUAUGCCCUUUUGCAAAAGCAGCUUGGUAUGGUUUCCCAUGGUUUAUUAAAACUAUUUCAUAGCCCAACAUAAUAGUUCAGUAUCACAAAUGAUCCAAGCCCUUCUCACUUACAAUCAUCCACAAAUAAAUGUUGUCUCACUGUAUACCUUCCUGUGGUGUCUUUGGAAAUCUCAAAACGACAAUCGCUUUUGUAGGACUACAAGGCCUCCUUCCCAGGUAUUUGCAGCAUAAAUGGCGAUCAUGCAAGGAACCAAUCUGGUGGUCUCAACUCAGUCUCCGGACUAUAAAGUAGUCAACUCGACUGGAACUGACAAGGCAGUGCAUGAGGAGGCCCUUUUGCAAAGACGGGAUCACUUGAGAAUGCAAUUGAUGCCAUCUCCUGGGGAAACAACCAUGGACAUCUCAUCUUUUCACGUACCAUUGUUUAUAUAAAUGCAGACUGGAGUUCAGGACUUGAAGAUCAGCCAACCGUAGCAGGUUUAGGUGUAUUUAUACAGUUUGCAGGAAAUCAACAUUGUUCACAGUUGUGCAUCUCGGCCGUCGGUGAGACUACAAAGUAGUCUCGACUGGAACUGACAAAACAAUGCAUGAGGAGGCCCUUUUGCAAAGACUUGGUAAUGCAAUUGAUACCAUCUCCUAGGGAAACAAUCAUGGACAUCUCAUCUUUUUCAGGUGCCAUUGUUUAUACAGAUCAGCCAACUGUAGCAGGUUUAGGUACAUUUAUACAGUUUGUAGGAAAUCAACAGUGUUCAUAGAUGUUCAUCUCGGCCGUCUCCCCACCGACGACAUCAGCUAUCCAAGCCAAAGCAAGCCCAUUCUUGCUCCAGGUCAUUGGACAAUAAGGCCACAGCUUGCAUGCGUAACAGCUUCUUUAGCAUUUGAUGCUACAAGAAUUUAUCGUAUCAAUAGGAGCUACAACUUCCGAGCACACCAUCAAGCUAGAUUAGCAACCAAAAGUCAAAACUUUUCUUACAAGUUUAAAUGUUUAGGUUCGGGCAAUGUUUAAAUGUUUAAACUUUUCUUAUAACUUCCUUUGGUUCUGCAAUGUAAGGUUCUACAUGUGAAAUGCUGCUAAUCUAUGAAAUUAUUUGAGUUCAAAAAAAAAAGUAGCAAACAUUCAAUUUGAGUGUGGCUAGAUCAUCGAUUGAGAUUUAACCGAAUCUCAGUCAAGUAACAUACUCCCUCUGUCCCACACGGACGUUUGGUCUACGAAGACAUAUGUCCCCGGUAUCCAUAGCGUGCCCAGGGGCUUUGUCAUCUGGGCGUAAAGUAGUGAAUAAAGAAAUACGGACAGUCGCCUGGAGUGAUAAAGCGCGUUAUACAUUGCUGGGACAGUGCAAUACCGUCAGAAGUACAUGCUGAAACAGGAUCCAUUCUGUUGAAAAAUAAAUGCUGCUCAACUCACACACGCCCCUUCCUGUUCUUGGGUGACUACUGUCAGAGUCGCGUCUCUUCGUAAUUCUGGACGUUGCUAAGAUAAAACGAACUGUAAAGCUAGCUUCAAAUGUUUUCGUUAAUAAAGCUGGAAGUUGGCAGACUCAUUUAAUGAGAGUGUACUGCCUAGUACUAGGAAGAAGCGUCGGUUCCACGCUUUGAGUCAAAAAAUUCUGAAACUUUUCCAAAAAUAAAUUUGAUUUUUUCAGAAGUUAUGUAGAAAGUUUGCAGUAAUAAAAACUCCUGUACACUUGUGGUGAAAAAACAAAAUCAAUACUAUAUAGAAGUUACUAUUCACACUUUCUUUCCUCAAUUUUUUGUUUCUCUUCACCCAGAAAUCAAUGGAAGUUUUUCCUUCGUCAAACUUUUUGUACAACUACAAAAGAUGGUCAUGUUUAUUUUCAAAAAGUUUCAGAAUUUUUUACUUUUUGUGAUUACUAUUUUUUUUCAUAUCAGGUGCAUAUACACCCUAUAUAAAAAAUAGUAACUACCAAAAAGUCAAAAAUAAUAAUUUUGUUUUUGAAAUAAACUUGACCUUCUGUUGUACUCGUAUAAAAAGUUUGGGCAAGGAUGAACUUUCAUGGUAUUUUUUGUUGGGAAAAAAUAAUAUCAACAUUAUAUAAAAGUUACUAUUCACUCUUUUGUCUUUGAAAUAUUGUUGUUUUGCCCUCAAGUGGAUGUCAGUUUUUCCUUCUCAAAACUUUUUAUACAAGCAGAAAGAAGAUCAAGUUUAUUUCAAAAAAAGUUUUAGAAACUUUUGACUUUUUUCGUAAUUACGUUUUUCCUAUAUCAGGUAUAUAUAAAUCCGAGAAACAAAGGGUAUUUGCAAUGAAAAUUGUAAACUGACGUUCUACAUGAUUUAUUAAUCCGGAAUAAAAUAAACUAAGGUGAGUAGUUCGUCGCUAUGAAUAACAACUCGAUUUGAUCAACAUAAAAAAAAUGAACGUACAUGGAGCACGUUACCAUGAUUGGAGAACAAUGAAAAUAUUACAUAAUCCUUUGCUGAACGGUAAUAUUACCAUGAUCUGAAGAUAACUGGAAAUAAAAUAAGUAAAUUUAAGAUGAUAGGUUCAGUAAUGUUUAGUGUAGGAACAGUUGACUGUCCAGUACUGGAAAACAAGGAUUUUAGGUUCAGUAAUCUCCAAUAAAACACCGGAGUGCCGAAGUGUUAAUCUUCAAUUCUUGUCGCGGGCGCGAAGUGCAAAAUCUGAAGGCACAGCGAGUUGAAGCCAAAAGUGAAGGAUACAGGUAGAGAGUGUAAGACGAUUUGGCAGUUGGUAGAUGAGACACUGGUUUAAUGCGAUGCAGGCCCGAGUCAGAAGUACCGGACGGCAGCACACAAAUACGAAUUGAUAAAAUGUAGGAGUGACAGAAUAUAAGAGGGAAAGUCAGAAUACGGACGAAAUCACUGUUCUGAUUUUGUCAGAGUUUAUUCUCACAAACUGAACCCGACGUGAAAGUAUUUCACGAUUUGACCUUUUUAGAAACGCCAGGGACCGCGGCGUUUUCACCCAACACAGAAACGCCGAGCAAGUUAGCGUUCCUGACCUGGCCCACUGCCAGGCCGAGGACGUGUUGCUUGCUCACAUGGCGUGAUGGAAACGCCGAGCAAGCUAGCGUUGCUAGAAACGCCGCCGUCCUUGGCGUUUCUGGUGCAGAUAUUUUAGGUGGUCGUGAGGCUUUCACCCACCACUCACCUUUCACUCUCUUCUCCCUCAUUGGUCUAUCCCGAGCUCUUGCCCUUUUCCCCCUUUGUGUCCCUCACUUAGCCCUCUCAAAUCCUUGCAAAUCGAUUGGGUUGGUCCGUGGAUCCGGUGUCAUUUCCGUUCGUUGAGGUAACCUCCUUCAUCUCACAAAUUUUUAUUGGUUGGAUUUGUCCAUUUGGAUUGAUUUGUUCUUGUUGUUCCUAACCCUAGUUUUGAACAUGAAUCUAUAAUGUGAUGUUUUGAGUAUUGUUAUUCCAAUAGUGUUGCAUUGUGAUGUUGUUGAGCCUACCUUAUUGUGGGUUAUGGCUAAUGUUAAGAUUUAGGGUUAGGGUUAUGGCUAAUGUUAAGAUUUAGGGUUAGGGUUAGGGGUUUUAUUAGCAAUAUGGUAUAUUUAGCAUUGUACAUUUCUUAUACUUAUGUUACCAUUUUUUAAGAUGGACAAGAUUGUGAAUAUUCAUUAUGUUGACAAAGAGGCAUUCAUGAAUGUGGAAAUUGUUGACAAGUAUGAGGAAGUGUUAAUAUUUCUUGAGACUCCUAUCUAUGAAGAGGUUGUGGAAGAAACACGGAUAAGAUUAAAGUGGGUGGAUGCAAGUGACCAAGUUGAAUUAGUAGGAAGAUAUGAUGUUGGGUCGGCACACAAGUGUCGAAUGAAGACAAUGCCUAUCAAGUCCUACUUGCAUUGGGUUGCAUAUAAGGAGGUUGUUGCAUCCUCGACAGUCAAGUCACUCGAAGUCUUUGCAUGUAAGGUGGUCAAGGCUCCUCUCUUUCAUGUUGACUUGAACCAAACCUUAGUAGAUGAUGUGAGCCCGGUUAGUAGUGUGCCACCUAUUGUUGAGCAUAAAGUUGAAGUGUAAGCCAAUGAGUAUCCCCAAUAUGAGUUCGAAGGUAGUGCACCGUUGAAAUAUGAUGGCGAUGACUCCGAAGAAGAGUAUGAGAGACACCAUAACAUUGUUGGUGACGUAGAGGCUGAAGUAAGGCAUCAGGACAUGGAUCCUGACAUUAUCUAUCAGCAUGCUUGUGUGGAUGACUCGGAUGAUGAAGGCCCGGUGAAUGAGUUGGACGAGGAUGGCUUGACUGAGAAAGAAGCAGAGUGGUACACAAAAAUUACCGGUAGGGAUCACAAAGUUCCCUUGUUUUGUGAUGUUAGCCUUGCAGAUAAGGCUAUAGUCGACGGUGGCAUGAGCAAGACAAUUGAGGCUAGACAGUUCCCAAGUAGUACACCCGACGCGAUUUCAAUGUCGUACAUGAGGAAAGGUUUGAUGUUUGAGCACAUGCUAGAAUUCAGGAUGUGGUUGUGUGAGUAUGCUGUCAAACACCACAGGCCUUUCAUACUUGUUCACUCGGACUGCAACAAGCGAUGCACCAUGAAAUGUGAGGUAAAAAGAUGCAAAUGUAAAGUCAAUGGAAGACUCACGAAAGAUGGUUGGUGGAAGAUAACUAGUUGCAAAGCCAUCCACCAAUGCACACCGCCGGCCGUAGAAGCACGGAAGACACACCGUCAACUAACCUCGGAAUUCAUUGGUUAUAAAUACCAGAAACAUAUAGCCGAGGAUCCAACCAUUAAAGUGCAGUUGUUGAUGAGUUGGAUUGAAGAUAAGUUCGGAUAUAAGGUCAAGUACGGGAAGACAUGGAAGACCAAGCAAGUCGCUCUCAGAAUGUUGUACGGUGGAUGGGAAGAGGCUUACAACAUGCUACCUAGGUUGCUGGGAGCGAUGUCGUAUAGAAACCCAGGAAUGUACCACUAUGUCCAAGAUAUUGAAGGAGUGUUCCGUCGUGCCUUUUGGACAUUUGGCCCAUGCAUUGCAGCUUUUGAGCAUUGUGGCCGGUUCUGUCUAUAGAUGGGACAUUCUUGACAGGGAAAUAUAAGGACACACUCAUGAUAGCAAUGGCACAUGAUGCUAACGAUCAGGUGUUACCUGUGGCAUUUGCUUUGGUCUCCGUGGAGAACCAAGACAACUGGGAAUGGUUCAUGAGACUUGUUAGGAGCACGGUCAUUCCUCCGAAUAGGGAGGUAUGCAUCAUAUCCGAUCGGCACCAAGGCAUAUUGAAGGCCGUGGAUAUUCAUAUUCCAGGGCAUGCGAGGCUUCACCACCGAUGGUGUAUGAGGCACUUCGUUGCAAACUUCUACAAGGCUUGUAAGAACAAGGAUCUUUGCAAGGAUCUUAACUCCGCAUGUGUGCCUUCUCCGUUAAGUCAUUCACGACCCGCUUGAACAAAAUCUAUGAGAAGGCAAACAAAGAUGGGAAAGAUUUCUUAGAAAAGAAUAUUGAUGAAAGACACAAGUGGUCAUGGGCAUGUGACGAAGGAGGCAUGAGAUAUGGUGACAUGACAAGCAAUCUUGUUGAGUGCUUCAACUUUGUCUUGAAGGGUGCCCGUCAGUUGCCGGUGACGGCAAUAGCGGAAUAUACCUUUUACAAGCUAAAUGAGUAUUUUUUUAAGCACUUCGAUGAAAUCGACAAGUUGAUUGCUGAUAGUGAGAAGCCUCCCAAUGAAAUUUAUCCGAAGAAGGUUGCCGAGUGGCUGGAGUUUCAGAGAGACAAGUCAGCCAUCUAGCGAGUCACUUGUUUCGAUAAUGUUCAAAUGAAAUACCAAGUGGAUGAGCCAGGUGAGACAACUAGAGAUGGACAAUCAUAUGAUGGUCGCUCAUUUAAGGUGGCUCUUAGGACAAGACAUUGCACUUGUGAGCGACCUAGUAAGUAUCACUGGCCAUGCUCACACAUGAUGUCGGCGGCCCGCAUCAGGAAUGUGGAUAUCUCUGAUGGAGUAGUUGUGAGGCUGCCUGGAACUUCUCCAAGAAACGUUGUGGUGUACGCUGGCAACGCCAAGGUCCCUGGCGUUUCCACCCUAAGGCCUCCUUUGGUUUGGAGGAAUUUUGUAGGAUUUUCAUAGGAUAGGAUUUUUAUAGGAAAAAUUCAUUUAGAGCUCUUUGGUUUGUAGGAAUGAAAUCCUAUUUCUAUGAAGGAAUUCUUCCUAUCCUCCACAUUUCAUAGGAAAAUAAACAUUAGCCUAGACUCAAUGGAAAAAAUCCUAUGGUUCAAUCAAAGGGCAUCUCAUUUUCUAUUCCUAUGCAUAGGAUUUGAGAUGCAUGUCAUCUCAUUUCCUAUGACUUUCCUAUUCCUAUGAUUUUUCAAUCCUAUGGAUCAAAGGAGGCCUAAAAUGAAACGCUUGCGUGGCUUGGCGUUUCUUUAAGACAGAGGCUGGCUGGGACACGUACAUGAAACGUUGCCGCUCACACCUGAAACGCCAACCACCCCCGGCGUUUCCAGGCCACAUAUAAACGCCAAAGUCCUUGGCGUUUCUGCCCUGUUAUGCAGAUCAUAGCAAACCCUGCUGCCCAUUCCAUCACAGGUAGCAAAGGUACAGCAACAGUUUUCACAAUAUAAUGCCAAGUACAGCAACAGUAUAGCAAUGAGACAUAUUUUCGUCAACGAACUUAACAUGAUCCAGCUUACAUAAUAAUUACCAAGUCUUGCUGACAUAGAACUAUCAAGUCCAUCAGACAUAAAACAUAACAAGUUCAUUAGAUAUAGAACUAGCAAGUUUGCUCCAUCUGAAACGCUAACUACAUUUCUAGUUCACCACAUAUAGAACUUCACUUCUUGCCUCUUUUUGCAGCCAUCUUCCCCUUGUUGACGUAGCCUUCUGGAGUGUUCUGCCAUCCAGGACGUCGGAUGGUUCUUGAGCUAACUCGGUGUGCUUCCUCGGAAGGCUGAGAACGUUGAGUUGGUGGUGGAGCAUCUUCCAUCUGCGAAGCCCCAAGCUCCACAUAGUCCGGAUCCGCAUCGUAGUCUGUCUCCUCCUCUUCAUCUUCCUGUUCAUCAAUCCGUGCUUGGCUCGAAGAAGCACCUGCUCGGCUGGAAGAUGGACGAGCGAAAGAAGCACAUGCUUGGCUCGAAGAUGGACGAGCGGAAGACAGCACAUCCAUUCUAUAUUGAGCACAUGCACGCACAUCCGUGGAUGAACCGCCAUGGCAAAAAAGUAAAGAGGCUAGUGUUCGGCAACGAUUCACAACCUUCUGCAGAGGCAAAGACAUUGACAUGUAAAUAUGCAAAAAUAGUUCACAUGACACAUGUUCAUAUUAAGAGGAUCUCUAACCUGUAGAGUACUCCUAACGAGAACGUUCGUUUCUCUACCAGGUGCGCGGCCAAGCACCACAUUACUAUCAUUGAUACAUCUCCAUAGCUCCGUGCCCUGAAUAAAACUUAAGUGACACACCACUCAUGAAGAAAUAACACAUGUUCAAAAAAGAGACAAAAAGACAUACCACUCGGUCAUGCAGAGGGCCAUAAUCUAAGUGUGCUCCAAUGGUCUCCCUAAUAGAGUUGUUGAAUGCACCAUCAGCAGCCUCACUUGGCAUUACUUACAAGCAAUCGGCAUGAAUCCAAGCACCCUUAAGGAUAACUCUGUACUAUUUGCGAAGCCACUCCAAAUGCCUUAAAUAUGCCCCCUCGUCGUUGUCAGGUGUGUGAUCAUCUUCAACUCAAGCAUUCCUCUGAGCAUUCCACAUGUCCACCCACAUAAGAUGGUGAUCCUCCCAAUUAAUGACAUUCUUUUGUGUUGUCGGCUCGUCCUACAAACAUGAGAAGUAUCAGCAUCAUUUUCAUUUUUUCGUGGUUACACAUUGAUCAACAUAUGGUACAAGAAACUCUCACCUAUGUAGCACCACACUUGUCUCAACAUACUCCGGCGGGGUGCGUUGUUGUACUCCAAAUUGCUUCGAAACAUGAUGUGGAAGAUGCCACUCCACCGCAAAAAAAGCAUAUCAUGGGGCAACACAUACACCAAAGAUGUUGGUCACGAAGACACAUAUUGCUCAAAGAGAAUUGUCUAAGUACCAUGUACGACCUUCAAUUAACCUACAUCACAACAUGUCACUAGCUCAUGCACAACAACAAAAAUCUGUAAUGAUGGCAAGGGAUUUGAUAAUUACCUCAUUGUAAGUAAGCAUGUCAAGCUCGCUUAUGUAUGCCUUGUACCGCCCCAUGACGGCGAUACUGGACACUUGGACAUUAGCCCACGUGUAUGCGAUAGUGGGAUAUCUAUCGCUCCUCAUCCCCGUCAAAAGGCCACUCCCAAGGUUCUUCCGGAGCAAUGGUGAAGUUACGGCCCACAGGGAUACGCUCCCACAUCCAAAUCUGUAGGGCCCAAACAAAACCACCAAGACAAGAUUUCGGCUUACUCCUCAUACAUGCUCUGUCCAACUGCACAUUUGUACACACAUUAAACAAUCACAUGCAAAAAUCUCUUUCAUAUAAUGAGAAUGCAUCAAAUUAUCAUUACCUGACGGUACAAGAAGGCUAGUGUAAGUGCACCUAGUGCCACCCCUAGUUGGUUUUGGAGUAUUGAUGACAAACCUAGUUGAGGGACUAAUGUGUUUGUGAGAAUUGCAGGAUAACACAGGUAGAAGUCCCUCAUUGAUUCGGUUUUCCUACCAGAGAUGCCCCUAAAAAUAUAUGAAGACGUUGAAGUCAAAGGUGGUAUAUGAAGAUAUUCACAUUGAAGACUAUGACAAGAGAAGACACCACAUGAAGCCUAUGGAGCUCGAAGACUUAGAUCUUUCGUAGUUCUUUUUCUUUUGUGUUGAGUCAUAGGAACCACCGUACUGUUAAGUGGGGUCCAAGAGAACCAGUCAGACUGACUGAAGUGAUGCCUAAACAAAACCUAUGUCUUCGAGUGAAGACUAUGAGAGCGAAUCUUGUUCAGAGUCGGACAAGUCAGCUUUGCUUGUAGCCCAAGUAAAGUUGCCGUGUGAGUUUGAAAUCUGACCGUUGGAACACGUGUCAGUUCCUUAGUGACCCAGGGUCAUUUCGGACAAAUCAGGUCGGGUUGCCAAGUGGCUAUAAAUAGCCCACCCCCUACAACCAUAAACAGUGGGAUGCUCAGAUUGAGAGUACGGCUUUUGUCGUUUGAGAGCAACCCACCUCGAAGCCUUUGAAAGAGAAUUCCUUGCGAGGAUAAAGCCCUAACCACCCAGAGCGAGAGAGAAUUGGGCAUCACUUAAGUCUUCUUGUCUGUGUGAUCUGAAGACUUAUUACACUUGAGGAAUGUGCAUCCUCCAGCCGUUAGGCGUCGCGUUCUGAGCAUCCAAGAGACAUUGUGGAUUGCCGGUGAACGAAGUCUGUGAAGGUUUGGGAGUCUACCUUGAAGACUUACCAGAGUGAUUGGGCGAGGUCUGUGUGACCUUAGCUCAAGGGGAAUACGGUGAGGACUGGGUGUCCUGAGCUGCGUGUUCAGGACUGGGUGUCCGAGACUGUGUGUCCUAAGGUUUAAAUACCUAGCCGCCCCAACCAGACGUACAAUUGUCACAGCAACUGGAACUGGUCCAACAAAUCAUUGUCUUCAACAAGUCACUGGUUUCAUCUUCCCUUCCCUUUACUUACUGUUGCUCCUUGUGAAGUCAUUGUAUGUUUGCACUAUCUUUUGUCUUCACUGAGUGACUGCAUGUUCUGUAUGGCUUCACAAUAUCUUCCUACCUGAUCCUUACUACAUUGCUGCUAUUAAGUCAUUGUGCUUUCACUUCAUUGAAUACUUGACUAUGGCUUGCCUAGUGUAGUCUACCUUCCGCUGCAUGGUAAUAGGUUUAUUUCUAUCGUUUGUCUUCAUAACUUCCAUGUUUUGAAGACUUUCAUAAAAAUCGCCUAUUCACCCCCCUCUAGUCGAUAUAACGCACUUUCAAUUGGUAUCAGAGCAAGGUGCUCCUUUGUUCUAUGUGAUUCGGUUUAACCACCUAGAGUUUUAGCUAUGUCGACUACAGGGAUAAUUAAAGUCUCCGCUGUGUGCCCCGUCUUCGAUGGAACUGAAUAUCCCUACUGGAAGAAUAAGAUGCGCAUGCAUCUUGAAGCCAUUGAUGUCGACCUAUGGUAUGUCGUCGAAAACGGCGUUCCCAAGGAUGGAGAAGGUGUCACUGCUGCUGACGUCAAGAAAUUUGUUCAACUGGACUCUACUGCCAAGAAUAUCAUCUGUGGUCACCUGACCAAAGGACAGUAUGGCCGUGUGAGUGCUUUGAAAACAUCUAAGCUGGUCUUGGACUGGCUCUCCAAGGUCAAUGAAGGCAUCUCAACCCAGAGAGAUCAGAGAAUCAGUGUCCUUCGCAACCUCUUCAACCGUUUCAAGCGAAAUGACAAUGGGAAUGUCCAGCACACUUUUGACCGACUCACUGACAUCACAAAUGAGCUUCAAGCCCUCGGCGCUACUGAGAUCACCAAACAUGAAGUCGUCAAGACACUACUGAUAUCACUUGAUAGUUCGUUUGACAUCCUAGCCCUCAUGAUUCAAGAAUGUCCUGAUUUCAAGACACUCGAUCCAUCUGACAUACUUGAGAGGCUCAACACACAUGAGUUUCAGCUUUCUGAAAAAAGAGAUAUCUACGGUCCAAACUAUGGGCGAACUCGUGCCUUGAAGGCAAAAGCUGUCUCCUCAUCUGAAGAAGAAUCUGACAGCAGUUCUGAUGAUCCUGAAGACAUUGGAAGAGAACUUGCUAUGCUUGUGAAGAAGUUCCAAAAAUUCACCAAGAAGAAAGGCUUCAGAAAGUCUUCCCAAUCAAGCUCAAGGAAUGAUGAAGCUUCUGCUCACGACUACAAGAAGAAAACAUGUCACAAGUGCAAGAAACCUGGCCACUUCAUCUCUGAGUGUCCAUAGUGGGACAAUGAGAACAAAAAGAAGAAGAAGAGCAAGGAAUAUGACUCUGACGACAAGAAGAAGAAGAAAUACUCAAAGUCUUCGUCCAAGUCUUCCUCAAAGUCUUCAUCACACAAGAAGAGCUCAUCUGGCAAGGCAUGUGCGUUUGUUGGCAAGGAAAUGGACUUAGAGGAGCAGUCCGCUUCUGAGGAGGCGGAUGUGAAGUCUGAGGAGGAGUCCGAUUUAGGCGUCGCAAGUCUGGCUACAGCAUACGUUGCCAAGUCCAUCUUCAAUACUGAAGACAAUGACCUCGUCACCGACACCGAUGCAAUUGACAAGGACUACUCCGCUUCUACCUACUGCUUCAUGGCACGCAGUGCCAAGGUAAACACACGCACUACUCACUAUCAAACAUCUAGUGACGAUGACUCUGAUUGUGAUUCAAAACCCAGCUACAAAACACUUGCUAAAAUUGCAACUGAACAAUAGAAAGCUAUGGAACAUAUUCAAAAACUGUUAGACAGAAGCGAUGAUCUGUUAGGUGCUGAAAUGACUCGAUCUGAAUCCUUAAUUGAAGACAUAAAAAAUCUUCACGUUAAGUAUCAGGAACUUGAAAGUCGUCAUGAAACUCUCUCAACAACUCAUGAAAAGCUUUCCUAUGAUUAUCUUCAAAGGAAGCAAGAUCUUGAGAAAUUGAGAGCGGUUCAUGAAGAUCUUCAAAAGGAAAACGAGUCACUUCACUCCAAACAGACCAGUCCCGCUCAGGAAGGAUUUGAACCACCAUGUCUUAAAUGCAUUGAGCGUGAUAAUGCUACUUCUGUUGCUGAAUGUUCUACUGCUACUACUGUUGCAAUAUCUUCAACUGUUGAUGUGGUAACUAACCCCUCUGCUGAGGAUACCUCUGCUAUUGCUGAUGAGAAUGCUAGGUUGAAGACAUUGCUUGAAAUAGGGUUGUACAAAAGUCUUAAAGGGCAUCAGACACUAUGUGAUGUCCUCAAAAAGCAGAUUCUGAACCGAAACCUGAGGAAAGAGGGUGUUGGGUUCGUAAGGAAAAUGAAUGCUAAUGGCUCUUACUGGAAACCUGAGUAGUACCCCAAAACCAUGUGGGUUGCUGCAAAGGAACCUUCAGCAGACCCAUCCAAUCUAUCUGGCUUCACCUGUGCUAACCCUAUUAUCAUUGAUGAAUCCUUUGAUGCAAACUAUAUACUGUUUAAGAAUCAGAAUGGUGAAGUGUUUGCCAGGUACAUUGGUACUAACUGCAGGAAUGGACCGCCUAUGAAGAAGAUUUGGGCUCUGAAAAGGUGUCUGGAGAAUCUUCCUGUGAAUGUCAUCAUGACACCUCACGUGAAGAAGACAAACCUCACACCAAAGGCUUCAUACGGUCCAAAGGCUUCAUACAGACAGAGGACUCACCUAAGUCGCACUAACGCAAAUGUUUUGCAGGGAAACCAUACUCAGGCAUAUGAAUAUGAGAGCGGUUCAUCAAACUGCCAUGUUCAUAAGACCAAGAACUAUUCUGUUUAUUCUUAUGAGUACUAUUGUCUGCCUGCAAGACUGUUUGCUAGGGCUCCAAAGCCAAAAUUCUCAGAUGCUGCACUUAGACUUAUUGCUUCUCAGCCACCCUUGAAGAUGUGGGUGGCUAAGAAAGCUUAACUCUCUUUUGCAGGGAAAGGUCUCUAGCAGAAAACCAAAAUCGUCUGACACCAUUGCUGGGGACCUUAAACAUCUUGUAGGGCGCAAGAUCAAAUGCCCGAAUGGUCUUACUAUGUACUUCGUUCCUGAAUCGCUUGCUACUCUCCCUAUUAGUCCUAAUCUGGAUCUAAGCUUUCAUAACCCAUUGGUUCGUCAAAUGUUUUUGCUUCACAAUGCUCUUGGUGAAGCCUAUCCCCCUAACUGCACUGUAGGGUACGACACCAGCAUCUUCAGAAUGGAUUAUUGAUAGUGGGUGUACAAAUCACAUGACUGGCAAAAGAAGUCUUCUUAUGGACUCAACCUUACGUCCAUCCGACAAGAGCCACAUCACAUUUGCUGACACUGGUAAAAGUAAGGUAUUGGGUCUAGGUAGAGUUGCAAUCUCAAGGGAUCAACACAUGGACAAAGUCAUGUUUGUUGAAUCCCUUGGCUUCAACUUAAUGUCUGUCUCAAUGCUUUGCGAUUUGAACAUGAUCGUAAUAUUUGGAAAAUAGCGUUGCCUUGUACUAAUGGAAUCUGACAAGUCUCUAGUGUUUGAAGGGUAUCGAAAAGAUGAUCUAUACGUAGUAGAUUUCUCAGCAGGACCACAGCUUGCCCUAUGUCUUCUAGCAAAAGCUUCAGAAUGCUGGCUCUGGCAUCGGAGGCUUGGGCAUGCUGGCAUGAGGAACCUCCACACCCUUGCAAAGAAGAAGCAUGUCAUAGGCAUCGAGGGCGUCAAGUUCAAGGAAGACCACUUAUGCGGUGCCUGUGAAGCAGGGAAGAUGACGAGGGCCAAACAUCCUUCGAAGACAAUCAUGACCACUACUCGACCCUUCGAACUGCUUCACAUGGAUCUUUUCGGUCCCACUCAUUACUCAACACUUACUACUACUGCAUGCCUCUAUGGCUUUGUUAUUGUUGAUGAUUACUCUAAUACACUUGGGUGCACAUAAUCCUUUACAAGACUGAAGUGCAGGAUGUCUUCAGACGCUUCGCCAAUCGAGCUAUGACCAAUUAUGGCGCCAAGAUAAAGCACAUCAGAAGUGACAAUGGCACUAAAUUCCAGAACACUGGCCUUGAUACAUAUCUUGAUACCUUGGGCAUCACACAUGAAUUCUCAGCCCCAUACACGCCACAACAGAAUGGCGUCGUCAAACGCAAGAACAGAACACUCAUUGAGAUGGCCAGAACGAUGCUAGAUGAAUACAAGACCCCAAGAAAAUUUUGGCCUGAAGCCAUUGAUACUGCAUGCCAUACAAUCAAUCGUGUUUAUCUUCACAAGCUUCUGAACAAGACAUCUUAUGAGCUCCUUACUGGCAAGAAGCCAAAUGUCAGUUACUUCAAAAUAUUUGGCGCAAGGGGCUGGAUCAAGGACCCACAUCACACCUCAAAGUUUGCACCAAAAGCACAUGAGGGUUUUAUGCUUGGAUAUGGAAAGGAUUCGCACUCCUAUAGAGUCUUCAAUCUCUUUCAUUACAAAGUGGUUGAAACAGUGGAUGUGCGGUUCGAUGAGACCAAUGGUUCACAAAGAGAGCAACUGCCAACUGUGCUAGAUGAAAUUCCAUCCAGUGAAUCAAUCAAGCUAAUGGGAACUGGAGAAAUUAUACCUUCUAAAGCUCAUCCUGAAGAAGAACUUAUCAUCUCAGCACCUGAUCAACAUGAAGACAAUGCACAGCCUGAAGACAUUCCUUCUAACAAUGACAAUGAUCAGCAAGAGCAAAGUCUUCGCCCUGUACAUCCUCGCGUUGCCAAUGAAGUGCAGAUUGAAAGAAUAAUUGAUAGCAUCAAUGCACCCGGUCCACUCACUCGUUCAAGGGCAACUCAGCUAGCAAAUUUCUGUGGGCACUUCGCAUUCGUCUCUAUAACAGAACCCAAGAAAGUUGAAGAAGUCUUCAUAGAACCUGAAUGGAUUCAAGCUAUGCAAGAAGAGCUUCAACAGUUUGAGCUGAAUAAUGUAUGGGAACUAAUUAAGCGUCCUGAUCCACGGAAGCACAAUAUAAUAGGCCCCAAAUGGAUAUACCGCAACAAGCAAGAUGAGCAUGGUCAAGUUGUCAGAAACAAAGCUCGUCUCGUUGCUCAAGGAUAUACUCAAGUGGAAGGCAUUGACUUCGAUGAAAUAUUUGCUCCUAUGGCUAGACUUGAAGCCAUACGCAUACUGCUGGCCUAUGCAAAUCAUCACAACAUACUUCUAUAUCAAAUGGAUGUGAAGAGUGCUUUUCUCAAUGGCAAGAUUGAAGAAGUGUAUGUUGCACAACCGCCUGGCUUUGAAGAUCCAAAACAUCCUGACAUGGUAUACAAGCUCAACAAGGCACUGUAUGGCCUCAAACAAGCCCCUCGGGCCUGGUAUGACACACUCAAAUACUUCCUGAAGAGCAAAGGCUUCAUACCUGGUUCCCUAGGCCCCACUCUCUUCACGAAGACAUAUGAUGGUGAACUGUUUGUGUGCCAAAUAUAUGUGGAUGACAUUAUCUUCGGCUGCACCAAUCAGAAGUACAGUGAAGAGUUUGGAUAUAUGAUGCAAGAGCAAUAUCAGAUGUCCAUGAUGGGAGAGCUGAAGUUCUUCCUCGGUCUUCAAAUACGACAACAACGCAACGGCAUCUUCAUAUCUCAAGAGAAGUAUCUCAAAGAUUGCCUGAAGAAGUUCGGUAUGCAAGACUGCAAAGGCUUCACAACACCAAUGCCAGCCAAACAUCAUCUGGGUCCCGACGACAAUGGUAAAGAGUUUGAUCAAAAGGUAUACCGCUCCAUGAUUGGUUCUUUACUUUAUCUAUGCGCAUCUAGGCCAGAUAUUAUGCUUAGUGUUUGCAUGUGUGCUCGAUUUCAAGCGGCACCAAAGGAGUCGCAUCACUUAGCUGUGAAGCGAAUUCUUCGAUAUUUGGCUCACACCCCAACUCUAGGAUUAUGGUAUCCAAAGGGCUCAGAGUUUGAUAUGGUUGGACUCUCGGAUGCUGAUUAUGCUGGUGACAAAGUUGAUCGAAAGUCUACAUCAGGCACAUGUCACUUUCUGGGACGAUCACUUGUAUGUUGGUAUUCAAAGAAGCAGAACUGUGUAUCUCUCUCCACUGCUGAAUCUGAAUACAUUGCUGUUGGAUCUUGCUGCGCUCAGCUUCUGUGGAUGAAGCAAACACUCAAGGACUAUGGCAUUCAUCUGAAGCAAGUGCCACUUUACUGCGACAACGAAAGCGCCAUCAAGAUUGCCAACAACCCAGUUCAGCACUCGAAGACAAAGCACAUUGAAAUUCGUCAUCACUCAGAGAUCAUGUUGUGAAGGAAGAUAUUGAUAUCAUACACGUCAACACUGAAGAGCAAUUGGCAGAUAUCUUCACCAAGCCCUUGGAUGAGAAGAGAUUUUGCAAGUUACGGUGUGAGCUAAAUAUCCUGGAAUGCUCAAAUGUCCUGUGAUCAGGCACACAUCCUAACCCUUAUGCAUAUUGAUGACUUAGAUGUGCAACACACGAAGUAAAGUAUAUCUUCAAUCAAUGAAGACAUACAUUCUAAGUAUGAAUACAUUAAUGUGGAAUUUGACUUCGGAGUGCCACGAUAAUUGUGCGCCGUGUCUGGGUCUAAUACUUCCUAUACGGUGGGUAACGCCACCACCAAAUGUUCUAUUUUGAAGUGUUCCACUCAUGGCGUUACCAUGCAAUGUCUUCACAUUNNNNNNNNNNNNNNNNNNNNNNNNNNNNNNNNNNNNNNNNNNNNNNNNNNNNNNNNNNNNNNNNNNNNNNNNNNNNNNNNNNNNNNNNNNNNNNNNNNNNNNNNNNNNNNNNNNNNNNNNNNNNNNNNNNNNNNNNNNNNNNNNNNNNNNNNNNNNNNNNNNNNNNNNNNNNNNNNNNNNNNNNNNNNNNNNNNNNNNNNNNNNNNNNNNNNNNNNNNNNNNNNNNNNNNNNNNNNNNNNNNNNNNNNNNNNNNNNNNNNNNNNNNNNNNNNNNNNNNNNNNNNNNNNNNNNNNNNNNNNNNNNNNNNNNNNNNNNNNNNNNNNNNGUUCUAUCCUCUACAGCAUUCACUUAUAGCUAUGUCUUCAUUGUUGAAUCUUUUGAACUAAGUGAAUGUGAUCGGACCCUAACCUCUCUAUGCUUUCUAUCUCAAAUUCUAUCUCUCCAAAUCAUAUGCAUUCUAUUGAAACUGUCGAAUGUCUUCUCUGCGUCCUUGUCAGCAGAAGAUACAGAGACAACCAGUAAGUCCGUUUUCAAUGCUCAUUCCUCCACAUGAAGUAGGAACGACCACCCGACAAUCAAGGCAUGCGUGAGACGUGGAACAAACCCCAAAAUUCCGCAUAAUGGCCACAUGUUCCUCAGAUGCGAAUCGUCAGGGGCACCUGUGUAAUAGCGCAGUGCCGCCCAUGUACCUAUAAAUACACACUUCACAGCGGUCAUUAUCUCUUCUUCCACUCUCGCACGAACCCUAGCGCCACCGCUAGCCCUCGACGAUGCCGGCGACGAAGCGCUUCGCUGCCGCAACCUCUCUGACGUCGUCUUCACGCCGACCGCGGACAUCGUCCUCUCCGACGUCGCCGUAGGUGUCCUCCGUCGCCAAGUUAGGGCACGAAAGAUCGAACUGCUCGGCCUCAUCUUCCACUUCAUCUAGCAGUUCUUAGUGUGGUAAAUAAAACUUCCUUUUUACAGCACCAUUGAUCCUAUGGAUUUGUCACUUUCUACCACAAGGAGUUUCUAUUCACACAAGUUAGAUCUCUCUCAUACUGCAUCUCAUAACAUGUCUAGUAUAUUCACUUAUGCUUCACAAAGUAGUUAGAUUCCUCACUUGUACUGAUCUGUGGAUUCGUACAAAUCUGGAACCAACUCCUUAUCUAUGAGUGAAUGUCUUCGCAAAAUGAGGUCAAUGUCUUCUAUGAUUUAUCUUCAAAAUCUUCUGAGAAUGCAUAUGACCUCUUCCCCUUCCCUCGCACCUUAAUGCUAUUACAGGUACAUGUCCGUGGGAGAAUUCUUUGGUUCUCAUAGUCUGCAUUCAUUUGCAGAAUUCUUAUAGCAUCACAUUAAUUCUCCCGAAGCCAGUUCCUGUUGGUCCAGCAAGCGAAAACCUUUGAAGCCUUUGAAUGUGUUGAAGCCUUUCAAGUUAAAGUUUAUGGCGUCAGAGAAAGCAGCAAGGAAGGGUGGCAGAAAGUGUCAUGGAGAAACAUCCAGAGAUCUGCCAGAUGAACUCUCAGAACUGUACAAGACAGAUCCUGAAGAGGAUUACAAUCAGCGCAAGACCCGAAUCCAAUGGAUUCAAAGAUAUUGGGCAGAACAAUGGUUCAAAUACCGAUUUGUAACCCAGGAAUAUGCUGAGAAAAAUGCCAUCAAGAGACCAUGGGGAGACAUCCUAUACAAGAAUCUUCUGCCCAGGUCCAGAGAUGAAGCCAUUGAACAAGGCUUCUAUCCCUGCAUGGUCCGUGGGCCACAGCCUGCUGAUGCACACCCAUCGUCACUACUAUGGUGUCGUGAUGACAAUCUGUUCAAGCGCAACUUCCAGUUUGCCCAAAACUCAGCGAAGCAGAACAAGAAGACUUUGGGGUUAGACUUCAACCCUGGUCCCUCAGCACCAAGGGCAGAUGGCACACGAGAUGCAGAACCCAAUGUCAUCGGUCCUUUCUACAACCUUGAGGGCCUCAUCACCCGCAUCUUAGUUCAAGGGACUGCAGUGAAUGAGCCUGCAGCUGACGCUGAAUCAGAAGAAGCUCCUGCAGCGCCGAAGACAAAGAAGAUGAAGAAGCCUAAAGCUUCAAAGCCUGCCCCCUCACCAAAAAUCUCAAGGGCGAAGCCACUGGCAACUGCACCUCCUGAAGACAGUGUGCAGUCCGAAGACUUAUCUCGCAUCUCCAAGCCCCAGAAAGUCAAGAUGCCUCUGCCUCACACCGGACAAGAGCUAACCGCUACUGCCAUUCUGCGCAAUGACGACAUUGAUCUGUCAAGUGAUGAAGAUCUAGCAGAUGACGCUCUUGAGCAACUCAUCAAGAGCAAAGAAGAAGCAGAAAUCUUCAAUGAUCUGCCUCUCUUUGAUGUGACCAUCAUCCACAACUUCAUUGACGAGUGGUUUGACACGCCAAACAUCAGCUUUGAAGAUCUGCAGCUACCAAUUGGCCUCAGUGUCGCCUUCCAAGGCGCCAUUGCUUCAGAACUCGCUAUUGCCCAGCGCAUUGUUGAACUGAAGCAAAAGAUUGACUAUGAAAAGGCUCAGUUCAAGAAGCAUAUGGCCAAGCUCAGCGUGCAGGAAGUGAAGAACUUCAAGAGUAUGAUGCACGAGCUCAAGGAAGCCUUUGUAAAGAAACGUGCAGAAGCUCAGGGUUCGCGUGAGCGCAUGAAGACUCUGACUGACAGAUGUGUGCAAGCCUACAAUGAGGCUGAGAAGCGCAAGGCCCUUGGGCGUCCUGGCAUCGACCCCAGGAUGGCCGCAAAGAAGAAGAAGCCUGCUACGGCUGAACCUGACGCACCACGGCAGGAAGCAGUUCCGAUUGUCUUCCCAACUAGACUGACUGGCUCGAAGCCAAAAAGCCAGUCAACCGCUUCAGAGCUCAAGAAGACAAGGACUGCUGAGGCUGAAGCCAGGAAGAGGAAACAUUCUGAAGCCUCUCCAACUAUCCCCUCCAAGAAAAAGAGGAAGACCAAGAAAGAUCGGGCUGCUUCCACAGAGCCCUUAAUAGUUGAACCCAUUUCUAUGGUCUAUCCUGAAGCUGAACGCCAUGAACGCCAACUGACCAUCCAUGAGCCUGCUUCCACAGAGGCUCAUGAAGCUGAAGACUUUCCAGUAGCUGAUCCCAUCGCUGCUGAAGACAUUGGUCAAAAUGACAAUGUAGAAGAUGGUGCAGUCCUUCCUCAGAACAGCGAACUCAUCAGCAUUUGUCGUCCACUGACGCCAAUUGCACAGGAUGCUUCAUGGGCGGAUCGCCCACAAUAGGAAGAAGACUAUGAGGCCCAACCCACUCCAACUCCACAGGCGUCGCCCCUGUUGCGCAGGCUUCGCAAAGGUCCAAGGCCUCAAGUCUCUGCUGAAGACAAUCCGGCUGCAUCAGCCGCGGAAGAUGAAGUCCCACAAGUUCCCACUCCACUGUCCCACCAAGAAGCAGUUCUCAAGGAGAACGUGCUUGAAAAUCUUGCGGCUGCCACAACCACCAAUGAAGCUAAUGUGGAUCCCUCCCCAACGGAAAAAGAAGACAACGAAGCCACUGAUCCCGUCACUUCUGUUCCUGAGUCUACUGCCGGUCCACAGUUCGACUAUCAUGUUGAGCACAGGCCUCAGGUACAGAAGCCAAUCCCAAGAUUGCCAAGGUUCCCAGGUCCUGCAUCAGCACCUGGCUCCUUCAAUAUCAAUGGCUUCAGGGCAGACAACACAUUCUUCGAUAGCUCCAGGAACCCCUACUCAAGGGAAAGGAUAUCAUCUGAUCGGUUCUGGAGCUAUCCUCAGUGAAGCUAUUACUCGUGCAUUCUUUACAACCAAGGUCGCAUCUUCCACACAAGCGCCUUGACAUUGAAGCCAUAGCUGGUCUGCCUUGUCUGGAAGAAGCUUUGGAUUGCUUCAAGGAAGUUGGACUGCUGCCGUUCGUUACUGACCAAGAGCAUUGGAAUGAAGAGUUGCUGCUCCAAUUCUAUGCCACACUUCAUAUCCGCGGGUACAGCAGAGAUCCGAAGACUUGGAUCCUGGAGUGGAUGACCGGAAAUGUUUAUCACGAAGCUAAUGCAUUUGACAUCAUUGAGCUCACUGGUUUGCCCACUCCUGGCGAUCUCUACGAGCAUGGCUGUCAGCUGCAUAGUGAAGCUAUUGAGAGCAUCUUUAAGAGGCCGGAACCUGAUAUGAGUCAGAUGCUCAGCAUGAUGAAGCCAUUGCCCCAAGAUGCUGCUUAUCCAACAGAGUUCUUCGUUGAAGACCUUGAGUAUCUGCCACGAACCAUCUAUCACAUCAUCAGGCGAACUCUCUGGCCCAUCAAAGGGCACUCUCCAAAUGCCAAGCUUGAGGGUGCAAUGAAGACUUUGGUCUUCUAUAUUCUUCAUGGAAAAAUGCUUCAAUGCACGGGACUUAUUCAUCCGCCAACUUGCUGCAUCGAGCUCUGAUCUGUUUGGCUUGAAGUUCUACGCCCCAUGGGUAAUGCGGCUAAUUAAACUUCACUCCAAUAUCUCAUAUCAGCCAUCUACUCGCAAUCAUAGGAUUUUUCUGCCUGAUGUGGAUAUCUCUACUGAAGCCAUCUAUCCUGAGCCUGCAAAGGAACCUCUAAGUCUUCAUAAUGCAGAGCAUCAGAGUUUCUCACAGAAAUUGAAGGAGUUGAAGCAGUCACUCGGGCGUAUCCUUUGGCUGGCACUACACGUGCACCACACCCUGCGUCUACUGAAGCCACUGAUAGUACAACUGCUCCAAGACCCAAGAAGCACACUCGUGUUCUCAACGACCGAGAGCUUCUUGUGGCUCUUCAUCAGAAACAGGAUAGGCAUCAUGACUGGCUGAAGCGUCAGAUGAAAAGCCUCUUGGUGGAAGUUAAUCGCAUUCGCAAUCUUGCCACCAAGAAUGCUUUCGUUGCCCAUGAAACCUAUCGCCGUACAUGGAAAGGGCUAACGAUGAUGUGUUCUGAAGAUGAUCUCCAAGAGGAUGGCUUCACCAAGCGAUUCAAGUUUGACUCCACACCUCCUCGAAGAGCUGUGCUGCUAGGAACUCCACCCCUUGAAGACUCUGAGUUCUCUUCAUCUGCUGCAACAGUGACUGCCAGAGUUAUCGAGGAUGAAAAUGAUGCUACUUCACCACCACCUCCUUCAGCACGCGUCAACUCUGCUCCAAGCUCUUCAGCGCCGCCAAACACCACCAACGACCCUGCUACUUCACCUACUCCGCAUGGGAACAAGUAGAUGCUCUAUGUCUUCAAACCUUUUUGGUCCUUACUGACAAAAGGGGGAGAAGCAUAUGAGGUUGAUAGUCUUCAAGCGGGUCCAUAUGGGCGGGUGCUUUAUAUUUUGCUUCGUGCUUACAACUCUCGUUUUGCUACAUUUGGUUCUUUGAGUUGUAACACUUAAACUCAAUGGUCGUCUGCUACUUAUCUGCCACUUUGUUUUGCGAUGAUAAAUUCCGCAUGUGCGACGAUAAAUUCCGCACUUAGAUCAUUCUGCAGACGUCCAUUUUCCAUUAUGCAUGUCAUUAUCUUCAUAUACUUUCACAUGCAUAGUGGAUUGUCAUCAUAAGUUGAAGUGGAUCUCCACAAGUACAACCUGCCAUGUGCAUUUGCAUUCCAAAAGCAAAUUACCUAUAUGCACAUCUUCAGGGGGAGCCCUUGCAACUUAUGAAGACAAUUCCUUAUCCUUUACAAUUUCAUAGAUUAUAUUCCCCGUUAAAAACUUCAACUAGUUUGUCAUCAAUCACCAAAAAGGGGGAGAUUGUAAGUGCAUCUAGUGCCACCCCUAGUUGGUUUUGGAGUAUUGACGACAAACCUAGUUGAGGGACUAAUGUGUUUGUGAGAAUUGCAGGAUAACACAGGUAGAAGUCCCUCAUUGAUUCGGUUUUCCUACCAGAGAUGCCCCUAAAAAUGUAUGAAGACAUUGAAGUCAAAGGUGGUAUAUGAAGAUAUUCACAUUGAAGACUAUGACAAGAGAAGACACCACAUGAAGCCUAUGGAGCUCGAAGACUUAGAUCUUUCGUAGUUUUUUUUCUUUUGUGUUGAGUCAUAGGAACCACUGUACUGUUAAGUGGGGUCCAAGAGAACCAGUCAGACUGACUGAAGUGAUGCCUAAACAAGACCUAUGUCUUCGAGUGAAGACUAUGAGAGCGAAUCUUGUCCAGAGUCGGACAAGUUAGCUUUGCUUGUAGCCCAAGUAAAGUUGUCGUGUGAGUUUGAAAUCUGACCGUUGGAACACGUGUCAGUUCCUUAGUGACCCAGGGUCAUUUCGGACAAAUCAGGUCGGAUUGCCAAGUGGCUAUAAAUAGCCCACCCCCUACAACCAUAAACGGUGGGCUGCUCAGAUUGAGAGUACGGCUUUUGUCGUUUGAGAGCAACCCACCUCGAAUCCUUUGAGAGAGAAUUCCUUGCGAGGAUAAAGCCCUAACCACCCAGAGCCAGAGAGAAUUGGGCAUCACUUAAGUCUUCUUGUCUGUGUGAUCUAAAGACUUAUUACACUUGAGGACUGUGCAUCCUCCAGCCGGUUAGGCGUCACGUUCUGAGCAUCCAAGAGACAUUGUGGAUUGCCGGUGAACGAAGUCUGUGAAGGUUUGGGAGUCUACCUUGAAGACUUACCAGAGUGAUUGGGCGAGGUCUGUGUGACCUUAGCUCAAGGGGAAUACGAUGAGGACUGGGUGUCCUGAGCUGCGUGUUCAGGACUGGGUGUCCGGGACUGUGUGUCCUAAGGUUUAAAUACCUAGCCGCCCCAACCAGACGUACAGUUGUCACAACAACUGGAACUGGUCCAACAAAUCAUUGUCUUCAACGAGUCACUGGUUUCAUCUUCCCUUCCCUUUACUUACUGUUGCUCCUUGUGAAGUCAUUGUAUGUUUGCACUAUCUUUUGUCUUCACUGAGUGACUGCAUGUUCUGUAUGGCUUCAUAAUAUCUUCCUACCUGAUCCUUACUACAUUGCUGCCACUAAGUCAUUGUGCUUUCACUUCAUUGAAUACUUGACUAUGGCUUGCCUAGUGUAGUCUACCUUCCGCUGCAUGGUAAUAGAUUUAUUUCUAUCGUUUGUCUUCAUAACUUCCACGUUUUGAAGACUUUCAUAAAAAUUGCCUAUUCACCCCCCUCUAGUCGAUAUAACGCACUUUCAGCUAGUGCCGCCGACCCCCAACUCCACUUAACAUCCCAAUUACGAAGAGGGUCCAAGAACAUCCAUGAGGCUGUGUCUCCCGUGCCGUCAGGAAACACCACUUGGGUCAAAAGAUUCCAUAAGUAAGCCCUGGCGUACCUCUGCACAACAGCCGGACUGGCAUUCUCUGGGCACUCAUAAAAAUGUUCUUGUAGCCAAGAGAACAAAACACCAGAUGGCCUAGGAUCCUUCUUUGUUUCAUGAAUCCACGGGGGAGGUUCAACACCAACCAAACCUGCAACCCUUUGUCGCCACCCCUCAGACCUCACCUUCCCGGUAAGAGCCCUGCCCUCGAUCGGAAGACCGGAUAUCAUCGCAAUAUCCUCCAAAGUGACGGUCAUCUCAACAAGAGCAAGGUGAAAAGAGUGCGUCUCCGGCCUCCAACGGUCCGUAAGGGCGGUAAUGGCUGUCGAGUUCAGUCAUGCAUGGUGGUGUUCCUUUAAAGUUGAGCACAAACCGGAGAAGAUCCAUUCUUCUAAAAUAAAGCUCGUAGCGACGGUCAUACUUCAGGGACUCGCGUGGGUUAUGGCCUCUCAAACGAAGUACUGGAGGAACCUACAAAAAGCACACACACAAUUUAUAUACUUCUCUAAACUACUCACAAUACGAGAAUCAACAAUGUAGAUACAUAAUUACCUCCCCUCUUUCCACUAGCACAACACAAUGCUUCUCCUCGUAAUAAUCAUCAAGGCCGGGAUAUUUAUCCGGCUCAAACAUCUUACAAAAUAAGGUUAAUGGGUUUGUUAUGAUAUAUGCUUAAAAUUAUGACCACAUCAUAUACAAAAUCGUGUGAGAACUACUACAAAUUAUCCCAAAGAUACAAAUCACGAACGACAUUACCAACACCAAUUCUUUUCAACCUAUUUUAUCAUAAAGAAUCUAUCACAACUAAUUAUUAACAAAUAAUAGGUUCAACCUAAUCCAAAAAAUGGUCUCUCUCUAAAUCCAAUACUAAACAAGUUAACUAAGAAUACUUCAACACAAGGAGUAUACGUCUUCUUUCUAAACAUAAUGUAACCAAAAUAUUCAUCAAACACAUCACUAAUAACUCAUCUUAGGGUUCCACCAUGUUUGAAAAAAUGCAUCUACAAUAGCCAAUCUUGACUGAAAAUAAAUGGAGGAUUGGGAAGAGAAUAUCUCAAGCAACUCGGGGAUGCUCCGAUCUACUCGUUUUGAUGAUCAAAAUAGCAGAUCUGGGGGAGAUUUGGUGAAGAAGAGGGAGGGGGCGGGGAGAUUUGGUGAAGAAGAGGGAGGGGGCGGCCGCCAGUUCGUCCCUGAAGGAACUGCCCGACCGGGACUGGGACUGCAAGUGGGCUGGGUUAGGCCCGCGCGGCCCGUGCGCGUUACUUAAUCCAGUUCAGAAAUGCAAGAUCAGCGAAAACAGCGGGUUCGGACUGACUGUGGGCCAGGGCAGAAACGCUAGUUGUCUUGGUGUUUUCGUGUUGGCAAGGAACACUAGCUUGUUCGGCGUUUCUAUGUUGGGUGGAAACGUCACGGGCUCUGGCGUUUCUAAAAGGGUCAAAUCACAGAAUACUUUCACGUCAAGUUCAGUUUGUGACUAUAAAUGUUAAGAUCAGAACAGUNNNNNNNNNNNNNNNNNNNNNNNNNNNNNNNNNNNNNNNNNNNNNNNNNNNNNNNNNNNNNNNNNNNNNNNNNNNNNNNNNNNNNNNNNNNNNNNNNNNNNNNNNNNNNNNNNNNNNNNNNNNNNNNNNNNNNNNNNNNNNNNNNNNNNNNNNNNNNNNNNNNNNNNNNNNNNNNNNNNNNNNNNNNNNNNNNNNNNNNNNNNNNNNNNNNNNNNNNNNNNNNNNNNNNNNNNNNNNNNNNNNNNNNNNNNNNNNNNNNNNNNNNNNNNNNNNNNNNNNNNNCAGUGAUUUCGUCCUCAAAAUACUGAUAGCAGAGGGGGGAGGGGGGGGGGGGUCGGGAGAGUAAUGAAUGGUGAGAUUCAAGGGACAGAUGUCCCCAGGAACCAACAGGCAUUCCCCAUAUAAAAAAAACUAAAAAUAUAAUUUUGCACGAAUGCACAAGAUCAAACAAAUAUAGCAUCGACUGAGAAAAGUCAAUGUCUCAAUUGAGACUUAGCAAAAUUGGUUUCAAACUCGACUUGUUUAAAAAAAACGCUGGCAGCCAGAACUGUUUUCUACUAGUAAGUAGCAGGAUUUUUCCUGCUCUCCUAAAAAAGGGGCAAACUACCAAGCAAAUUAAACGAGCAAACUAUAAGCAUCUCCAUUCAAAUGUAAAAGCUGCUGGUUAGACAUGACACAAUCAUCAGAUGGGAAUAACGGUUCUAUAUGUCCUUUAUUGUGAGCCCCACUUAGAUAACAUCAGCAUCUACAGAAUCGAUUGCAUUUUUGACAAUAAUAUGCGAUUGUGCAGUAAAAGCUCGUUCUGUUCAGGAUGAAAGCAUGACAGAUAAUGGCGACAUAACCAAAAUGACUUGAAUCGAUGAGUAAUGACUAUUCAAGCAUUGAAGAGGGAGAGGUCUUUCACAGUCUUGAUUUGAGCUCAGCAGCAACUGCGUCAAUGAACUCUUCAGUGUUCAGGUAAUCGCCUCUUGUAACUCUGAAAACGAAAUAGCACAAUGAGAUAUCAGAUUAUCAAUUAUGAAUACAGUAGAGGGAAAGCUGAGCAGCAUAACAUACUUUGAGGAUCCAUGAACAAGGAGUGCAAGGUCCUUGGUCAUCUUCCCAGACUCCACAGUUCCGACGCACGCUUCCUCAAGUUUCUGUGCAAAUUCAAGAAGUCUAGCAUUCUCGUCUAGCUUUGCCCUGCAGUGUGGACAUGGGAGAAUCAGCUAAAAAGCAAAGUCCACUAGAGUAAUAAUUAUAGGGACCAAUAUACUUGUCUUAAUUACUAUUUUGGUCACACCAGAAAAAGGUUUGCUGUCACUGAUACAGUAUAGCUGAACAAAGAGGAAAUUACCCUCGUAUACAUGGUUAUCACAAAGGGUUGCACACUUGCACCGGUAGAGAUAUAGAAGUAAUAGGUGUACCUGUGUGCAAGUCCUCUUGUCCAAGCAAAGAUUGAAGCAAUGCUGUUUGUGCUGGUUUCACCACCUUUCUGGUGAACACGGAAAUGGCGGGUAACUGUGCCAUGGGCAGCUUCAGCUUCGAUGGUUUUACCAUCAGGGCACAUCUAUAAAUAUCAAAAGGAAUUAGCACAACCUAACAAAUAUUCUCAAUAUAUAUGUAGAAGUACCGACAUGGAUAUGACCAAAGUAAAGGCUUUUCACACUAAGAGAUAACACCCAAGAUUUAGUCAAGAUUCAAGAACAUUAGUAAUGAGAAAAUACAUACCAAUACUGACGUCAUCAAGCCCAAAGAACCAAAACCUGCACAUACACUUCAGCAUUGGUUAUUGAGCACGGGACAAAAGAUAAAUUUUCUGAAUAUUUUAUGCAGAGACUCAAAAGUUACAGUGUUGUGACCUUGAGCUAAGAAAUCACUCUGCACAUCUCCGUCAUAGUUCUUGCAAGCCCAAACAUAGCCUCCUUCGCUCUUAAGUGCAUAGGCAACCAUGUCAUCAAUGAGACGAUGUUCAUACCUACCAAAAAGCAACUCAUGACAUACUUUGACAAAAGAUUACAAAAGAGCUCGAAGCAAGAAUGAUUCAAAACGCACCAUAUUCCAGCAGCCUCAUAUUUGGAUUUCCAGCCAGCUUCAUAGAUCUCCUGGAAAAUGUCCUUGAACCUACACAAUAAAAGUAUAUUUAGCCUGAUCUAAUUGUCUCGGAAUAGGCUUUAACUAAUAUUUAAGUGUAGCUAUGAACUACCUGCCAUCAUAUUUCUUAAGGAUUGUGUUUUUUGUGCUAAGGUACAAUGGCCAUUUCUUCUCAUAAGCGAUUGCCAUAGAAGCUUCAGCAAAACCUCGAAUUGACUGUACACAAUAAUUAAUUAAUUAGAUGUCAGGAUUUUACUCCAAAAUGCAAAUAUUGUUUGUAACUGCAGAAACCAGUCCAGGCAUAGCAGUACCUCAUCUGUGUUGUACAUAGCCAUGGCGACUCCUCCAGCACCAGUGAAGUUAAAAACCUCAAGGUCAACCGUCUCGUCUUUUCCCUCUGCCAGUAGACCAAAGAAACAAAAAGGCAAAGAAUAUCAGCGUUUGCUAGCACCAGUUCUCCAAACAAACAAUACAAUCAUACGUGAAAAUAUAGAACUACAAAGACUUCAUUCUUUCAUGCUUAAUUGUAAGUGGAGUGGUUAUGCAACCGUACCGAAAACUAGUCUGAGUUUGCCAGGUCCCUUGAGAACGGCAUCAGUUGCUCUGUACUGAUCACCGAAAGCAUGCCUUCCAAUGCAGAUGGGCUUAGUCCAUCCUGAUUACACCAAAGAAACAGUUUAGCAAGGAAAUUUUGCAUUCCAAAAUGUGUGUUCACGUUAGAAAAAAAAGUAUGCACUCACUCCGAUCCAUAUUAUUUGUUACUGCUUUAGUAGUACAAAGUUGUACUAAAGCAGGGGCAGGUAAUAUGAAUCGGAGGGAGUAGUAGCUUUAAUCCUCCUUACCUGGAACAAGCUUUGGGACAUUCUUGCAUAUAAUUGGCUCUCUGAACACGGUGCCUGCAGGUAACAAGUGUAAAGAGAAAUGUCAACAAUCUAACUACGUCCAUUUUUUUAGCGAAAACCUAAUAUGUCCAUUAUAUUGAAAUACAGCAGGAGCUUGCCGUUUAUAAUGUUCCUAAUUGUGCCAUUUGGGCUCCUCCACAUUUGUUUUAGGUUGAACUCCUUAACCCGAUCUUCAUCUGUCAUGGUGAAGUAACCAGAUAUUAGAGAGAAAAUAUCAUCAAAUAGUGCUAGUGCUUCAACAAUACGAAGAACAAAUAAUUGAGCUGCAUAAGCUUGAGUGAAAUAUACCUGGAGUAAUAGUUGCACAUUUAAUAGCCACAUUGUACCUGAAAAUAAUAUUGGAUUAGAACAGCACUAUAGAACAACAAAGUCAUAAGAAUAUGCUAAAGUUAUAUAUGGUCAAAUCCUUCUGACAAAACUAGCUAGUUUCAAAGAUAUGAAAAUGAUACAACUAAUCAACAAGAGUAGUGAAAAGGUAUCUGCCUCACUGUUAAUAAUAUUUGAAUAAUUAAGAACAUCAACCAUAGUACUCAAAAUUCGUUGGGAAAUAUACCACAACAGAACUACUAAUGAUUAGAAAACAGGACAAACAAAUUAUAGGCUACAUAAAACGCUUGUAAUGGUGUGAUCACAGCAAUCAUAUUUUUACUUGAACACAAGCAUAACAUCAGCAGAAACUCAGAUUAUUCAAAACUUCUUACUUGAGAGUAGCCUCUGCAGCCUCCACUGUAACCUUGUCAUCAGUUGCAUCGCGGUGUAGAACUCCCAAGUCAAAGUACUUAAUGUCCAAGUCCAAAAAUGGGAAGAUAAGCUGAAACAAAGAAAUAAUCAGCCUGGCAGCAUAUGGAAAACAAGAACCACACACACAGAAUGGCCCAAGCGGAUCAGAUUUGUCAGAGCUGUUGCUUAUUGAUUACCUUGUCCUUGAUAGACUGCCAGAAUACUCUGGUCAUCUCAUCGCCUAUAGGUUAAAGAAACAAGACAUCAGCACGACAGUGGACCAACAAAUCAAUUGAUUACAUAUAAGAUGAAAAAGAACUACAAAAUAUUAGUAUUAUUUUGUGAACAAAUUUAUUGCUUAAACUGAAAGUUCGACAUCAUUUUCUUUCCAAAAAAAAAGAGCUACCCAAUGCAACAUGCGAUGCAGGCAUGAAGCACUGGCUACGAUUGGACCGAAAGCGCCAGCAAUCGUAUCGAAAAAACUUACAGUUUCUGAAAAUAGAUUUCAGAAACGAGAUCCAGCAGUUAUACGUCAGGCAUAGUACGCCCAACCCUGCACCUUCCGAUUGUCAACAGACAAUCGUGAUCGUACCCAAGGUGUCAUACAUGUGCAGUUAUCUCGCCAUCUACGUUCUAAAUCCGAUCUCCGACACCACGGCGGCGAUCCAAGUACGGAGAUAAUAGAUCAGACAUCAGAGACACCUGAACCCAACAGUUAAGAUAUUGAAAAAAAGGAGGGGCAGAACGACGGCUAUACAUCUCUCAGAUCUCCUGGCAUCACCCCGACCAGAAUACAAAAUUCAGCAAGACAUCGUUUAUAUCGGCAAGGGAACGGCGGAGAUAGAUCUGCCGGGGAGUGGGAGUGGAGUGGAAGGGGGAUCUGACCGUCCAUCUCGACGAUGGGGUUGGUGACCUUGAUCUUCUCGAACGCCAUGGCGGAGGCGCUGCUUGCCUCGGAGGUCGGGAGCGGGUCGGGGCAGGUUGGUGGGGGAGGCGGCGGCUGUGGUGGCACGGGAAGGAGAGAGAACGGAGUGAGCAACUUUGCCAGCGCAUUUAAAGACCAGGCGGAGGGGGCGAGUGGGGCCCGUCUGCGGUAGGGAUAUUUUAGAAAAUCAUUUAAAUCUGCCUCACUCCGGCCGAUAGGAUCGGAUCAGACUGCGCGAGGUUGGGAUGGGGUGUUUUGGAAUUUGGAUGGUGCAUGCGGGUGAAGAGACUUUGGGACCUCAGUGGCCAAGGAGUUUUUGGCUUGCAAGUGUCUGAAGAGUCCGAGUUUUUUUUAGCACUGCAAUGCACACAACAUUGUGUGCAUGAUCGUUUAAAAAAAAAACAUUGUGUGCAUGAUGAUGUCAAUCUGGUGGAAGAGCUCAUUGAUCAGGAGAAUGGUGAUUGGGAUAGAGUGAAAAUUGAGGCAAAUUUUCUGCCACCUGAUACAGAGGCGAUAUAUAGAGUUCAUGUGGGGCAUAUGCCGGAGGACAUCUGGGCCUAGAAGCAUGAUAAAUUAGGAAAUUUCUCUGUUCGGUCUGCAUACAAAGCUUUAUUACAGUUGAAGAGACAAAACGAGAGUGCAUCCACCUCCAUGACUGCUCCUAUUAGUCAUUGACAGAAGUUGUGGAAAAUCCCAAUGCCGCCUAAAGUUUGUAAUUUCUGAUGGAGGAUUAUUAACAAAUUUGUGCCAUGUCGUUCGGUUCUACAGAAGUGUCAUAUAUCAUUUUGCGAGGAUUGCAGAGUCGAUGAAACAAUAACACAUGCAUUGUUCUCUUGUACAUGGGCCAAGGUUUUUUGUCUGAACUGAAGUGUUUCCUUCUUGACAACGAGAAAGUUCCAGAAUCACUUGCUGCCAUUAUCUUAGUUGGGUGCUGGACGGUCUGGACAGAACGAAACAAUAGGAGACAUGGGGAACGAUGUUGUCGGUGAGAACGACACCUAUGGGAUCACUGGGAUCCCUUCUAUGGUCGGCGGGCGCGGGGUCAUGAGAAGAGCAGGUUUAGGAGCUAGCACACGGGUCGUUUAACCAGGUUCGGGCCGCAAGGAUGCGUAAAACCCUAGUCCUGCUUUGGUGGAUGUAUUGAGUGUUCUUGAGCUUUCUGAACUAGCUACGGUGGUUGCGCCGUUCCAAAAAGCCGAAUCGCCCUCCUGGUCGCCUCGGGCCUCCUUUUAUAAAAAAAGGGGGCCGCCACAGUGGCACACAGGAGGUGGAAAGGCCUAUAGUGCGCGAGCUUAUCGCACGGCAUUACGGGACAAAGCGCAUUAAAUGCACUAUGUAGGUGUCCAUUAGCUUUAUCGGGGACGGGAACGAGGCCCGGCCCGUCCGUCGCCGCUCCGCCUCGCUUCGACACACGCCCAAGCUAGCAAUGCAUGCAGCGCCAUGUAGGCAGGCAGGAAGCUGAGGUGGCGCGGUGGUAGGGCCUUCAUGAAGAUCUGCAUGCCGCCACGCAUGUGCUUGCUGAUUUGGCCUGGAAGCUGCAUGUUGCCACGCAGGUGCCUGCCCAGCUGAUUGGGUUGGCAGCUGCAUGCGAACGGUGGCGGAGUCUUGGCUGGCGCGGGCCUGGCAGUGGCCCUACUGACGCCCUCGGCAAGGGUCUUGUUGGGGGCCCGGCAAGGAUCUUGCCAUGGCGUUGCUGUCAUCCCCAGCAAGGGUCUUGCCGGGGGUCUUGUGGAUUUCCUCAGCCAAGAUCCUGCCGAGGGUUGCUGUCUUCUGGUCCUCAUCUGAACUCAUAUGUUUAUGAGCUUGACGAAGAUUUGCAUGCCACCACAGAAGCGCCUCCCGAGCCUUGGUUCCAAGAUAGUUGGUUAGGUUGCAGUNNNNNNNNNNNNNNNNNNNNNNNNNNNNNNNNNNNNNNNNNNNNNNNNNNNNNNNNNNNNNNNNNNNNNNNNNNNNNNNNNNNNNNNNNNNNNNNNNNNNNNNNNNNNNNNNNNNNNNNNNNNNNNNNNNNNNNNNNNNNNNNNNNNNNNNNNNNNNNNNNNNNNNNNNNNNNNNNNNNNNNNNNNNNNNNNNNNNNNNNNNNNNNNNNNNNNNNNNNNNNNNNNNNNNNNNNNNNNNNNNNNNNNNNNNNNNNNNNNNNNNNNNNNNNNNNNNNNNNNNNNNNNNNNNNNNNNNNNNNNNNNNNNNNNNNNNNNNNNNNNNNNNNNNNNNNNNNNGAGUGAGUCCACCUCGCCCUCUUGCCCUCCUGCGCUUCUGGUCUUGGCGUUGUCUUGGUUGCCUCGUGCUUCGGCUUCUCUCCGGCUUCCCUCCUCUGCCCUGCUAAGCAUGGCCGCGGCGCAUGGCUCUGACUGCCCGUGCAUAAGUAAAAGGGGUCAAAAGGGGAGCUCCUACUUUUGUACACCGACAGGAGCCCCCGGGCCUGGGCCAUACAUAAGCAUGACGCGUUGUUGGGCUAGGCCCACAACAGUGCGCGGGCAGGUGGGACGAAUUUUACCAUACUAAUUUCUCGUCCGCUGCGCUUCCCCACGACCCGCAUUGAACGCGCGAUGUGGAGGGUCGUGCAUGACGUGGGGGUCAUGUGUGGGGCGGUUUUCACACGUAUGCGUCACAUCGUGGUAAAGAGGCGGCCCGCGUCUUUCCCGUAAAAGGAGGGAGGCGCAGAGGCACAUCCCAUUUACUUGGGUGGACUCGGGUCGUGGUCUUCAAGGCGCCCGCACCCCACGAUCACGGGGUGGGGAGCGGCUGCUUCGCCUGUCCCUUCAAUGCUGCUCGCUCGCCAUGUGUCCUUCAUGCAGGUGGUAGGAGGUGGAGGCGAGAAACCGGGUCAUCGCUGAUUGGGGCAGCGGGCCGGUCCUGAUUCCCUGCGCCCCCGAUGACCGGAUUGGUCGAGUGAGGCGGCCGAGCCCCGACUCCGCCCCUUUAUAAGGAGGGGAGGGGGCGGCAUUCCACAUUCUUCCAUCAUCCGUCUCCUUCCACCUCCGCUUCUUUCUUCCAUCCGCCAUGGCGAGAGGAAACGCUGGCCCUUCGACGGUGGUGGCGAGGGUUGCUGCUCGUCAGCGCGUUCCUCCUCCCCAAGAGCUCGUGGUGGAGGAACCGGCCACGAGAGGUAGGGGGAGGGGGCGAGGCCGAGGUCAUCGUGGCGCUCAGGGGAGAGGAUGACGGGGCGGCGCAUCGGCCUCGCCUCCGCCAGUGAUGCCUCCACCGAUGGAGCGCCACAUCAGGGACCAGCCCCGCGAGUUCUUCAUCAGGCUGCGCCAGCCACCGCGUCGCCGCCUCCGUCUUCCUACUGCAUUUGCUCGGGAGAUGGAGCUCGAUCCACCCCAGACCCUCUGGUUGCACAUGAAGGGAUCCGAGAACGGCGGCACACGGGUCAACGUCGACUUCCCUGCUCCUCACGGCAUGUACCUCCAUUGUGGAUGGAAGACAUUCACACGCAACGACAGCUUGGACGGCGGGGUUUGUCCUCUACUUCAAGUUAACGGAGGGCAGCCUGCUUUCCGUCAAGGUCUUUGGAGAUCUCGGAACUCGCUUGAAGUGCUGCGUGGAGAGCUCCUCCGACGAUGAAGAUUUCUCCUCGAGCGGGAGUGAUGAGGAGGACAGCGACAGCGACGAUGAGGGAGUCGAGCGGCAGGAUGCCGACUCCGACUUCGACUGACCGCACCGCCAUUCCCUCGGCCACGCACCUUGCCGAGGGCCAUCCUCGCCAAGCUCUCCAUCGGGGUGCUCCCCGUCGUCUCCUUGGGCGGCUGGCGUAGGAGGGUCAGAGAAGGCGAAGAAGGCGGGUGGCGGCCGUCAAAUCGAAGUACGCGGGCACCACGCCUUCGUCGCGUAUUGCCGGCCUGCUGCCUCAUCUUCCAGCUCCCCUCCCGACACUGGGACGUUCUCUUGGUGCCUUCUGCUCCUCGCACCUCGCCUAGGCGAUCUUUUCGCCCUCCUGCCCUCUUACUCCACCUUCUGAGAAGAGGGACAAGAAAGGGAUUACGGGCAUCUUAUCCUUUUUUUAGUUUGUAAGCCUGCGGACACUUGUUAAUUCUAAGACUUGUAAUCUCCUUUGCUCAUGUUUUUAAUUCCGUAUGAACUGUACCUAUAUGGGAUGUUUUUAAUGAAAAAGGGUGCUUGCCGGGUUCUUUGUGCGUGAGCGAGGCCCAUGCUAAGGAUGAAUCCUUCUUGUUUUGAAAAUAAACAUUGUCGCCCGGUAAUAGGCCUUGCCGUCUCCCCACUUCGGUCGAUCAUUCUCGCGCUCUUGGCGGAGGCAGGGCGAAGUAGAGUUAGGCCCCUCGUUCAUCUCCUCGCCACCGCGACUACUACCAAAUUCCGACCCAGGAGGUAGCUCUUGGGUACAAGAAAGGGGGAGCACGGUGGUUUUAAGAACAUAAACAAGGUUUCACAUGUCCCGGUUCUAUAUGAAAAUGCAUAAUAGGGGAUGAAAGACUUAUCUGGAUCCGCAGCCCCUGGCAACCUUGGCUCGCCGUGGUUGGAUCCUUGUAUCUUUAGCCCCCGGCAGUCUUGGCUUGCCGGGGCCGGAGCGCCGGUUUGUUCUCUUUUUCCCGAGCGGCUCAGCAGAAGUGUCUGCGUGCCCUGUGAACCAAAGAGAACAGAAAGACGCACACUCGACCUCUAGACGUUAGUCGCCGCUAAGCACUAUCAACCCUAACCGAGGGAGAGACUUGACCUAGCAUGCAUGCUAUACUUAGGGCGCCAGCGCUUCAUUUAUUUAUGCUCAGGGUCUGCGUCUGGCUUCGUACAGAGGGUUACAUGCCUUGCCGGCAAGGCUCAUACAAAAGGUGGUUCACCGGGAGGCCCGGCAACCGUGCCUUAUGGGUAAACCUUGCGAAGAUGUUCGAUGUUCCAGGAAUUGCUUACUGGGAUAACAUCUUCGGCCUCCAGGCGGACAGCGCCGGGCCUGGUGACUCGUAUUACCCGAUAAGGGCCUUCCCACUUUGGCGUCAUCUUGUUGGAAUUCUUGGUCGACUGAAUGCGCCGAAGAACAAGGUUGCCUUCCUCAAAAUUUUGGGCAUGAACCUUGUGGCUAUGGUAGCGGCGCAAGAUUGCUAGUAGCGUGCUGCUCUCACAGCCGCCUGAAGACGAUGUUGCUCAAGGAGCAUUUCAUCAUCUUGCUGCAAUCUCUCUUGCUCAAGCUCGUCAUAAGCGAGCACUCGAGGUGACCCGUAUAUGAGUUCCGUGGGGAGAACUGCUUCUGCCCCGUAUACCAGGGCAAAGGGUGUCUGGCCGGUGGCUCGAUUUGGCAUCGUUCUGAUCAACCAAAGAACCACCGGCAACUCAUCAAUCCAGCGCCUUCCGCUUUUGUGCAGCUUGUCAAAAGUCUUUGUUCCCAGGCCUCAUAGUACUUCAUCAUUUGACCUCUCCGCCUGGCCGUUGCUCUGUGGGUGUGCCACGGAAGCAAAACAAACCUUGCUGUCGAGGUCUCAGAUGUACUGCAUGAAGGCGUGGCUUGUGAACUACGUGCCGUUGUCGGUGAUGACUCUGUUUGGCACACCAAAACGGCAGACUAGUCCCUUGAAGAACUUGAUGGCUGACUGUGUUGUCACCUUCCUCACUGCUUCCACCUCCGGCCACUUUGUGAACUUGUCGAUUGCAACGUACAAGUACUCAAAGCCCCCGAUAGCAUGGGGGAAGGGGCCCAGUAUGUCGAGCCCCCAGACCGAAAACGACCAGGAGAGAGGAAUUGUUUGAAGGGCUUGAGCUGGUUGAUGAAGCUUCUUUGAAUGGAACUGGCAUGCUUCACACCUGGUUACUAGUGUCGUCGCAUCCUGGAGGACGGUGGGCCAGAAGAAGCCUUGCCGGCAAGGUCCCUCGACCCUAUGUGGGAGCCACAUAUGCCUCCAUGUAUCUCUGGCAACAGCUCCAGUCCUUCCUCCCGGGGGAUGCACUUCAAUUUCACAUCGUUCGGUCUUUUUCUGUACAAGACGUCAUCGACGAACUGGUACAAGGCAGACCGACAGACUGCUUUUUCCGCUUCUUCCUGCUCCUCAGGAAGUUCCCCUGUCUGGAGGAAACAAACGGUAUGUUGUGCCCAUGCCGGAGCCUGGGGCUCGACGGCAAGGACCAAAGGCAUCUCUUCCGCCAUGGGGGCAGCCAUCUCUACGGCCAGGGCUUGGCACCCUGCCGGAGCUAGCUGCCCCUUGGUAGGCUCGGAAUCCGCGGCAACACCCUUGCUGGCGGCCCCUGGGGGCUCGGCGGGAAAGUACUUGCUGGGGCCCGACUUCCUCCGCUUGUUCUGCUCCGUUGAUGGUUCGACGGAUGGUUGAGUUAACCGAAGCAAAAAGGUACCUGAUUCCAUAGGUAGCUUGAAUGCAGCGCGCUUUGAUAGGUAGUCGGCGAUGUCGUUCUCCGCUCGGGGAGCGUGCUCCACUUGAAUACCGUCGAAGCGCUCCUCCAGCUUCCUCACCUCAUCUACGUAGGCCUCCAUCAACGGACUCUGUUAAUCUUUGUUGACCUAUCUAACAACAAGCUGCGAAUCACCCCUAACGAUGAGCUUCUUCACCCCGAGGUAUGUCGCGAUCCUGAGACCGGCGAGCAGCCCCUCGUAUUCAGCAGUGUUGUUUGUGGACAUCUCCGUGGGAAAGUGCAUCUGGAUCACAUACUUGAGGUGCUCUCCGGUGGGUGCGACAAGCAGCACGCCGGCAUCGGCGCCUUGCAGCGAGAAAGCCCCAUCAGAGUGCAUGAUCCAGUCACGACUUGCUUCCUUGCCGGGGAGAGCGGUCUCCUGGAUUUCCUCGUCGGACAUUGAGGUCCAUUCUGCAAUGAACUCUGCCAAGACCCUGCUCUCAAUUGUCGAAGUACUUUAAAACUUCAAACCAAAGCUUGACAACUCCAGGGCCCACUCCACAAUCCUUCUGGUUGCAUCUGGGUUGUGCAGUAUCCGUUGCAACGGGAGGCGGGUGACGACAAUAAUCUUGUGGGAUUGGAAGUAAUGAUGUAGCUUCCUCGAGGCCAUAAGGAGGCCGAAGAGCAAUUUCUGCACACCGGAGUACCUUGAACUGGCCCCCUGCAAAGAGGGAGCUGACAAAGUAAACUGGGUGCUGCAUCAUCUUCUUCUUCUGCACCACUUCACUUGGAUGCGCGGGCCCUGCCCCGAUGGCGUCGGACUCUGCCGGGGUCCUUGCCUUGCCGGCACCAGGCCUGCCAGGGGGAAUCUCUGACUUGCCAUCCACCGGUCCUGCCAUUACCGCUGUCUCUUCGUCGACCUCCCUCUGUGCCACUAGCGGCGCUGACCACUUGAUUCGUUGCCGCCAGAUACAGCAGCAACAGCUCUUGUGGUUUAGGCGCAACCAGUAUUGGCGUAGAGGAAAGGUAUUUCUUCAGAUCCUGCAAUGCCGCCUCGGCCUCUGGGGUCCACUCCAUUGGGCCUGCCUUCUUCAAGAUUUUGAAAAAGGGAAGAGCACGUUCAGCGGACUUGGAGAUGAACCUGCUCAUGGCAGCAACGCAGCCAGUGAGCCGGCGCACAUCCUUGAUCCGCCUGGGUACCUCAAUCUUGUCUGGGUUUGCCUCGAUCCCACAUUGCGACACAAAGAACCUGAGAAGUUUUCCUAACGGGACGCCAAAGACACACUUCUCAGGGUUCAGCUUGAGGUUGAUCUUGCGUAGGUUGGCAAACGUCCCUCCUAGGUCUUGUACAAUGGUCGCCUUGUCCUUGGUUUUGACCACUAUGUCAUCCAUAUAUGCUUCCAUAUUUCUAUGUAGCUCGGGCUCAAAACCAAUCUGAACCGCCCUUGUGAAUGUCGAGCCAGCACUCUUCAACCCGAAAGCAUCCGUAAAAAGCAAUACGUACCACAUGGGGUGAUAAAGGUUGUCUUCUCUUCAUCUUCUCUUGCCAUGAAGAUCCGGUGAUAGCCCGAGUAGGUGUCGAGGAAUGACAACAGAUCACACCCGGCCAUGGAGUCAACAAUCUGGUCGGUGCGCGGCAAUGGGAAGUGGUCCUUAGGACAAGCCUUAUUGACAUCCGUGUAGUCAAUACGCAGCCUCCACUUCCCAUUUGCUUUGCGCAUGACCACCGGAUUGGCCAACCACAUCGGAUGGAGCACUCCUCUCACCAAACCUGGCGCUUCCAAUUUCCUGAUCUCCUCUGUGAUGAACUCAUGUCGUUCCAAAGCUUGCUUCCUGACCUUCUGCUUGACGGGUCACGCAUGGGGACAGACAACAAGGUGGUGCUCAAUCACUUCCCUGGGAACGUCGGGGAUGUCGGAUGCUUGCCACGCAAAUACAUCGACAUUCACUCGCAGGAAAAUGACGAGCGCGCUUUCCUAUUUGCUGUCGAGGGUGGAGCUUAUUGUAAGGGCUAUUUAUCCCUAAGGUGUUUUGGUGAUUGAUGACAAUGCGUUUGCGGAAUAAUCGUGUGUCUUGAGUUUCCUAGAUGUUUCUUCGCUAGGCACAAGACGUUUUGGUGUCCCUCGAAGACUAUUGAAGACGGCGUUUUUCUACGUUUCUUUUUGGUGGAUUUGAGUCGUAGGAAAGCCGUACUAUUAAGAGGGGGUCCGCGUCGGAAAGGUUCGGGUGGAAUCAUCACGUACACAUUUCUUCCUAGUCCCCUCCUUCCCCCUGCACCUUGGAGCUUCCUCUGCUUGUUUCUCUUUACCUUGUUCUGGCUGCUGUGUUGGCUUGCGGUAGUACUGCUCCCUGGUGAGAGGUAGUACCGUAGGCACCAGCGGUAGUACCAUGCGGUGGCGCGGUAGUACCACAGGUGUGCACGGUAGUACUGUUCCUUUGGAGCCAUAGUACCGUGACCCCCAGGCCAAGUACCGCUCCCUCGCGGUAGUAGGGGCGGAUGUAAUUUUUUACAUCCGCACUACCACGGUAGUACCGCAACCCUUCUGCGGUAGUACCGUGCGCGGCCUGGCUCAGCUGCCAGGCGGUAGUACCGCUCCUCUGCGGUAGUACCGUGUCGGAUUUUUGCUACGUCCGUUUUCCAGCGGAAGUAGGCACGGAUGUUCUGUUAUCCAUGCUCUUCCCAGGUUUGGGGUUCCCUGCCUUGCGGUAGUACCGCAAGGGGGAGCGGUAGUACCGCGUCUGCGGAAGUACCGUCCUCAGCCCAUGUGCGUAAGAUCUGCCCUAGCUACUGCUGCUGCUGCUGCGGUAGUACCGCGGCUCCUCCCGGUAGUACCGCAUGGCCCAGCGGUAGUACCGAUGUCCUGGAGCGGUAGUACCGCUGGUUGCGGGCUGGUUGGUGGAUAACGGUUGGAUUGUUGCCCCCACUAUAAAAGGGGUCCCCCUUCUUCCCCGUUGACUUACCUCUUCCAACCCUAAGCUCCAUUGUGGCUCCAAGCUUCAUUUUCGCCCGAUCUCACUCCCUAGCCAAUCAAACUUGUUGAUUUGCUCGGGAGUGGUUGAGAAGGCCCCGAUCUACACUUCUGAAAGUGCGUUACAUCGAAUAGAGGGGGGUGAAUAGGCGAUUUUUGUGAAAGUCUUCAAAACAUGGGAGUUUUGAAGACAAACGAUAGAAAUGAACCUAUAACCAUGCAGCGGAAGGUAGACUACCCUAGACAAGCCAUAGUCAAGUAUUCAAUGAAGUGAAAGCACAAAGACUAACAACAGCUAGGCAGUACGGAUCAGGAUGGAAGAUAAUAUGAAACCAAUCUGAACAAAUAGUCACACAGUGAAGACAAAUGGACAAUGCAAAUAGGCAAUGACUUCACAAGGACCAACUGUAAAUAAAGAGAUGGGAAGGAUAGAACCAGUGAGCUUGGUGAAGACAAAGGUUUGGUAGACCAGUUCCAACUGCGGUGACAGUUGUACGUCUGGUUAGGGCGGCUAGGUAUUUAAACCUGAGGACACACAGUCUGGGACACCCAGUCCUGGACACGCAGCUCAGGACACUCAGUCCUCACCGUAUUCCCCUUGAGCUAAGGUCACACAGACCUCGCCCAAUCACUCUGGUAAGUCUUCAAGGUAGACUUCCAAACCUUCACAGACUUUGUUCACCGGCGAUCCACAAUGACUCUUGGAUGCUCAGAACGUGACGCCUAACCGGCUGGAGGAUUCACAGUUCUCAAGUGUAAUAAGUCUUCAGAUCACACAGACAGGAAGACUUCAGUGAUGCCUAACACUCUUUGGCUCUGGGUGGUUAGGGCUUUAUCCUUGCAAGGAAUUCUCUCUCAAAGGCUUCGAGGUGGGUUGCUCUCAAACGACAAAAGCCGUACUCUAACUCUGAGCAGCCAACCGUUUAUGGUUGUAGGGGGUGGGCUAUUUAUAGCCACUGGGCAACCCGACCUGGUUUGUCCGAAAUGACCCUUGGUCACUAAGGAACUGACACAUGUUCCAACGGUUAGAUUUCAAACACACAUGGCAACUUUACUUGGACUACAAGCAAAGCUGACUUAUCCAACUCUAAACAAGAUUUGCUCUCAUAGUCUUCACUCGAAGACAUAGGAUUUUGGUUAAGCAUCACUUCAGUCAUUCUGACUAGUUCUCUUGGACCCCACUUAACAGUACGGUGGUUCCUAUGACUCAACAAAGAAAAACACAGAACGACGAAACUGCUAAGUCUUCGCACUCCAUAGUCUUCACGCGAUGUCUUCUCUUAUCAUAGUCUUCAAUGUGAAUGUCUUCACAUACCACCUCUGACUUCAAUGUCUUCAUACAUUUUAGGGGUCAUCUCUGGUAGGAAAACCGAAUCAAUGAGGGACUUCUACCUGUGUUAUCCUGCAAUUCUCACAAACACAUUAGUCCCUCAACUAGGUUUGUCGUCAAUACUCCAAAACCAACUAGGGGUGGCACUAGAUGCACUUACAAUCUCCCCCUUUUUGGUGAUUGAUGACAAACUAGUUGAAGUUUUCAACGGGGAAUAUAAUAUGUGAAAUUGUAAAGGAUAGGGGAUUGUCUUCAUAAGUUGCAAGGGCUCCCCCUGAAGAUGUGCAUAUAAGUAAUUUGCUUUUGGAAUGCAAAUGCACAUGGCAGGUUGUACUUGUGGAGAUCCUCUUCAACUUAUGAUGACAAUUCAUUAUGCAAGAUAUGACGUGACGAAGAUGAUGAUAUGCAUAAUGAAAAAUGGACGUCUGCAAAAUGAUCUAAGUGCGGAAAUUAUCGUCGCACAUGCGGAAUUUAUCAUCGCAUCACAGAAUAGCAAAUAAGUAGCAGACGGCCAUCGAAUUUGAGUGUUACAACUCAAAGAACCAAAUGUAUCAAGACGUGAGAGUUGUAAACACUAGGCAAAAUAUAAAACUACCGCCCAUAUGAACCCGCUUGAAGACUAUCAAACUCAUAUGCUUCUCCCCCUUUUGUCAGUAAGGACCAAAAAGGUUUGAAGACAUAGAGCACCUACUCGUCCCCGUGAGGAGUUGGUGAAGCAGCAGGGUCUUCGGUGUUGGUUGGAGGUGCAGACGAACUCGGUGCAGUGUUGAUUCGCGUUGAAGGUGGUGAAGUAGUGUCGUCUUCAUCAUCGAUGACACGUGCAUUCACUGUUGCAACAGAGGAGGAGAACUCAGAGUCUUCAAGAUACGGAGUACACCGCAGCACAGUCCUUCUUGGAGGUGUUGAGUCAAACUUGAAGCGUUCAGAGAAGCCAUCCUCUUGAAGAUCAUCUUCGGAACACAUAAGCGUCAGCCCUUUCCAUGUACGCCGACAAGUUUCAUGGGCAACAAAGGCAUUCUUGGUGGCAAGGUUGCGAAUCCUGUUUACGUCCACCAAGAGGCUUUGCAUUUGGCGCUUCAGCCAGUCAUGAUGCUUAUCCUGUUUCUGAUGAAGGGCAACCAGAAGUUCUCGGUCGUUGAGAACACAAGAUCGCUUCUUGGGCCGUUGGGCAAUGGUGCUUUCAGUUGCUUCAGUGAGGGCACGAUGAGCUGCACGGGUAGUACCAGCCAGAGGAUAAACACGAGCGACUGCUGGAUCUCCGUCAAUGUGUUGUGAGAAACUUUGCUUAUCAGCAUUCUGAAGACUAAGGGGCUCCUUGGCAGGCUCUGGAUAGAUGGCUUCAACUGACAUAUCAACGUCAGGCAUAAAGAUCCGAUGAUUGCGAGCAGAAGGCUGAUAGGUGACAACUGAGUGUAGUUUGAUCAGCUGCAUAAUCCAUGGAGCGUAAAACUUCAAGCCAAAGAGAUCAGAUCCUGAUGCAGUGGCGGAUGAAGAAGUCUUGUGCAUUGAAGCAUUUGCCGUGAAGAAUAUGGAAGACCAAAGUCUUCAUUGCACCUUCCAGCUUUGCAUGUGAAGAAUGUCCUUUGAUGGGCCAGAGAGUUCGCCUUAUAAUGUGAUAGAUAGUGCGUGGCAGAUACUCAAGGUCUUCAACAAAGAACUCCUUAGGAUAUGCAACAUCUGGAGGCAAAGGCUUCAUCAUGCUAAGCAUCUGACUCAUGUUUGGUUCAGGAUUGUGAAAAAUGCUCUCCAUAGCUGCACUGUGAAGCUGACAACCAGGUUCAUAAAGAUCUCCUGGAGUGGGCAGACCAGUGAGCUCAAUGAUAUCAAAGGCUUUGGCUUCAUGAUGAACAUUUCCUGUCAUCCACUCAAGUACCCAAGUCUUCAGAUCUCUGUUGUAGCCACGAAUAUGAAGAGUGGCAUAGAAUUGGAGCAGCAAUUCUUCGUUCCAGUGCUCCUUGUUAGUGACGAACGACAAUAAUCCAGACUCUCUGAAGCAAUCCAGAGCUUCUUCCAAACAAGGCAGACCAGUUAUGGCUUCAGUAUCAAGACGCAUAUGUGGGAAAAUGCAACCUUGAUUGUACAAAAUGCAUGAGUAAUAACUGCGCUGCUGAUAGCUCCAGAACUGAUCAGAAGAUAUUCUUGCAUUGGUGUAGGGGUUCUUGGGCUAUCAAAGAAGGUGUUGUGUGCCUUGAAGCCAUUGAUAUUAAAAGAUCUGGGUGCAGAUGCAGUACCUAGAAACCUGGGAAACCUUGGCAUUGGCUUCUGAACUUGAGGCCUGUGCUCAACGUGAUAGUCAAACUGAGGACCAGCAGCAGGCGGAGGAGUCAGAAAAGGCCAUUUGACAGUGAUAAGUUGGCCAUAGUUGAAUGUUUGCUCGAUAAUGUGUGGCCUUGGUGGCGGAAUAGGAGCAGUGGCAUCAACAGAGGCGUCAGGCUGCACAUCUGUUGCAGGUGCAUCAUUGGCUUCAUUGGCCUCUGGCACAGUGUUAGGUGCAGGCUCCACAAUGUCUUCAGCCAUGACCACGUCAUUGGCUUCAGUGGUGUUAGUGGUGGCAGCCUCAGGAUUCUCAACCUCCACUUCAAAAGCUGGAGGGUCGGUCACGUUCUCCUCGAGAACAACAUCUUGGUGAGACGGGGGUGUAGCAACUCUUGGGGCUUCUUCUUCAUCGGCUGAUGCAGCCGGAACAUCUUCAGCCAUUUUGGCUUCGGAUUCAGACACAUGCAUUAUGGGAGUGACUUGGGGCCUUGGUCCUUUGCGAAGCCUGCGUAAUACGUGCGACGCUUGUGGAGAUGGAGUGUGCUGGGCCUCAUAGUCAUCAUCAUCUUGCACUGUUGGGGUAGCUUGCAGUUGGGGAGAGCUUGGAGUGUCUUGUCUCUAUGGUGAUCAGCCCACGAUGCAUCCUGAGCAGUUGGCGUCAGAGGACGACCAAUGCUGAUGAGUUUGCUGUGUGUGAGCACAGGCGAUGAUACCAGUUGGUGCUUGAUCUGAGGAAGGACUUCAUCAUCUUCAACAUUGUCAUGGUGACCAAUGUCUUCAGCAGCGAUGGGGUCAACUGUUGGAAUGUCUUCAACUUCAGGAGCCUCUAUGGAAGCAGGCUCAUGAACUACUAUCCGUCGUUCUUGAUGCGAGGAAUCAGGGCGAGCAACAGAGAUGGGUUCUACAACAAGGAGCUCUGUGGGAGCAGCCCGAUCUUUCUUGGUUCUGCUCUUCUUCUUGAAGGGAGCGACAUCAGAAGCAUCAGGAUUUUUCCUCUUUCUGGCUUCAGCCUCGAUAGUCCUCGUCUUCUUCAGUUCUGAAGUGGUUGACCGGACCUUUGGCUUCGAGCCAGUCAUGUUGCUUGGAAAUACUAUGCGUGGCUCUUCCCGCCUUGAAGGUGCAGAUUGGUCUGUUGAUGGCUUCUUCUCCUUUGCAGCCAUUCUUGGGUCGAUGCCAGGAUGACCAAGAGCCUUGCGCUUCUCAGCCUCAUUGUAAGCUUGCACACACUUGUCAGCCAGGCUCUUCAUGCGCUCACGAGAACCUUUAACUUCUUCACGCUUCUUGAGAAAGGCUUCCUUGAGCUCGUGCAGCAUAAUCUUGAGGUUUUUCACAUCUUGCAUGCUGAGCUUGGCCAUGUGCUUCUUGAACUAAGCUUUCUCAUAGUCGAUCUUUUGCUUUAGUUCAACAAUGCGCUGAGCUAGAGCUAGCUCAGAAGCAAUGGCGCCAGUGAAGGCGACACUAAGGCCAAUUGGAAGUUGCAGAUCUUCAAAGCUGAGGUUGGGCGUGUCAAACCACUCAUCAAUGAAGUUAUGGAUGAUUGCCACAUCAAAGAGAGGCAAAUUAUUGAAGAUCUCUGCUUCUUCCUUGCUCUUGAUCAGUUGCUCAAGAGCGUCAUCUGCAAGAUCUUCAUCGCUGGAUAGAUCAAUGGCGUCAUUGCGCAGAAUAGCAGCAGCAGUCAGUGCCUGAUCAGUACUCUUUCUCAUCUUAGUCUUCUUGGAGAUACGUGAUAGAUCUUCGGACUGCACACUGUCUUCAGGAGGUGCAGUAGCCAGUGGCUUCGCACGUGAAGCUUUUGGAGGAGCAGCUGACUUUGAAGCUUUAGCCUUCUUCUGCUUCUACGGCUUUGUAGUAGGAGCUGGGGCUUCAUCAGUGUCGGCAUCAUCAUCAGAAUGAUCCACUUUGGCACCUUGAAUAGAAAUGUGAGUGAUAAGGCCAUCAAGGUUGUAGAAAGGUCCGAUGAUAUUGGGUUCAGCAUCGCAUGUGCCGUCAGCCUGGGGAGCAGAAGGACCAGGGUUGAAGUCUAGUCCCAAUGACUUCUUGUUUUCCUUGGCCGAUGCCUUUGCAUGCUGGAAGUUGCGCUUGAAGAGAUUAUCAUCAUGACACCAGAGCAGUGAUGAUGGGUCGCCAUUUUCAGGCUGUGGUCCACGGACCAUACAAGGAUAGAAACCCCGAGCAAUAGCUUCAGCUCUGGUCUUGGGUGGAAGGCUUCGGAAGAGAAUGUCACCCCAAGGACUCUUGAUGACAUUCUUCUCAGCAUACUCCUGGGUCACAAACUUGUAUUUAAACCAUUGUUCGGCCCAAUAUCUCCGAAUCCAUUGGAUUCGUGUCUUGCGCUGAUUGUAAUCCUCCUCUGGAUCUAUCUUGUACAACUCUAAGAGGUCAUCAGGCAGAUCUCUUGAUGUUCUGCCUCAACGCUGUCUGCCACCCUUCCUUGCUGAUUUCUCUGUAGCCAUGAACUUUAAACUGAAAGGCUUCAAAGGCUUCCGCUUUCUGGUCAAACAGGAACUGGCUUCGGGAGAGUUAAUGUGAUGCUGUAAGAAUUUUGCAAACGAAUGCAAACUAUGAGAACCAAGGGAUUCUUCCACGGACAUGUACCUGUGACAGCAUUAAGGUGCGAGGGAAGGGGAAGAGGUCAUAUGCAUUCUCAGAAGAUUUUGAAGAUAUAUCUGUUUAGAAGACAUAGCCUCAUCGUGCGAAGACAUUCACUCAUAGAUAAAGAGUUGGUUCCAGAUUUGUACGAAUCCAUGAAUAAGUACAAGUGAGGAAUCUAACUACUUUGUGAAGCAUAAGUGAACAUACUAGGCAUAUUAUGAUAUGCAGUAUGAAAUAGAUCCAACUUGUGUGAACAAAAACUGCUUGUGGUAGAAAGUAAUGAAUCUAUAGGAUCAAAGGGGCCAUAAAAAGGAAGUUUUAUUUACCACACAAAGAAUUGCUAGACGGACUGGGAGAGGAGGCCGAGCAGUUCGAUCGUCCGUGCCCUAACUUGGCGACGGAGGACACCUACGGCGACGGCGGAGAAGAUGAUGUCCGCGGCCGGCGUGAAGACGGCGUCGGUGAGGUCGCGGUAGCUAAGCGCUUCGUCGCCGGCAUCGUCGAGGGCUAGCGGUGGCGCUAGGGUUUGUGCGAGAGUGGAAGAAAGGAUAAUGACUGUGGUGAGGCGUGUAUUUAUAGGGACAGGGACGGCAUAGUGUUAUUACACAGGUGCCCCUGGCGAUUCACAUCUGAAGGGCACGUGGCUAUCAUGCAACAUAUCGGAGGUUGUUCCAUGUUCCCACGCACGCCUGGAUUGUCGGGUGGUCGUUUCCACUUCUCCGGGUUUCAGGUGAAAGGACUUAGCAUUGAAAACAGACUUAAUGUUUGUCUUUGUAUCUUCUGCUGACAAGGACGCAGAGAAAGUUGUAAGUGCAUCUAGUGCCACCCCUAGUUGGUUUUGGAGAAUUGACGACAAACCUAGUUGAGGGACUAAUGUGUUUGUGAGAAUUGCAGGAUAACACAAGGUAGAAGUCCCUCAUUGAUUCGGUUUUCCUACCAGAGAUGACCCCUAAAAAUGUAUGAAGACAUUGAAGUCAAAGGUGGUAUAUGAAGAUAUUCACAUUGAAGACUAUGACAAGAGAAGACACCACAUGAAGCUUAUGGAGCUCGAAGACUUAGAUCUUUCGUAGUUCUUUUUCUUUUGUGUUGAGUCAUAGGAACCACCGUACUGUUAAGUGGGGUCCAAGAGAACCAGUCAGACUGACUGAAGUGAUGCUUAACCAAAUAACCUAUGUCUUUGAGUGAAGACUAUGAGAGCGAAUCUUGUCCAGAGUCGGACAAGUCAGCUUUGCUUGUAGCCCAAGUAAAGUUGGCGUGUGAGUUUGAAAUCUGACCGUUGGAACACGUGUCAGUUCCUUAGUGACCCAGGGUCAUUUCGGACAAAUCAGGUCGGGUUGCCAAGUGGCUAUAAAUAGCCCACCCCCACAACCAUAAACGGUUGGCUGCUCAGAUUGAGAGUACGGCUUUUGUCGUUUGAGAGCAACCCACCUCGAAGCCUUUGAGAGAGAAUUCCUUGCGAGGAUAAAGCCCUAACCACCCAGAGCCAGAGAGAAUUGGGCAUCACUUAAGUCUUCUUGUCUGUGUGAUCUGAAGACUUAUUACACUUGAGGACUGUGCAUCCUCCAGCCGUUAGGCGUCGCGUUCUGAGCAUCCAAGAGACAUUGUGGAUUGCCGGUGAACGAAGUCUGUGAAGGUUUGGGAGUCUACCUUGAAGACUUACCAGAGUGAUUGGGCGAGGUCUGUGUGACCUUAGCUCAAGGGGAAUACGGUGAGGACUGGGUGUCCUGAGCUGCGUGUUCAGGACUGGGUGCCCGGGACUGUGUGUCCUAAGGUUUAAAUACCUAGCCGCCCCAACCAGACGUACAGUUGUCACAGCAACUGGAACUGGUCCAACAAAUCAUUGUCUUCAACGAGUCACUGGUUUCAUCUUCCCUUCCCUUUACUCACUGUUGCUCCUUGUGAAGUCAUUGUAUGUUUGCACUAUCUUUUGUCUUCACUGAGUGACUGCAUGCUCUGUAUGGCUUCAUAAUAUCUUCCUACCUGAUCCUUACUACAUUGCUGCUAUUAAGUCAUUGUGCUUUCACUUCAUUGAACACUUGACUAUGGCUUGCCUAGUGUAGUCUACCUUCCGCUGCAUGGUAAUAGGUUUAUUUCUAUCGUUUGUCUUCAUAACUUCCAUGUUUUGAAGACUUUCAUAAAAAUCGCCUAUUCACCCCCCCUCUAGUCGAUAUAACGCACUUUCAAUUGGUAUCAGAGAAAGGUGCUCCCUUGUUCUGUGUGAUUCGGUUUAACCACCUGGAGUUUUAGCUAUGUCGACUGCAGGGAUAAUUAAAGUCUCCGAUGCAUGCCCCGUCUUCGAUGGAACUGAAUAUCCCUACUGGAAGAAUAAGAUGCGCAUGCAUCUUGAAGCCAUUGAUGUCGACCUAUGGUAUGUCGUCGAAAACGGCGUUCCUAAGGCUGGAGAAGGUGUCACUGCUGCUGACAUCAAGAAAUUUGUUCAACUGGACUCUACUGCCAAGAAUAUCAUCUAUGGUCACCUGACCAAAGGACAGUAUGGCCGUGUGAGUGCUUUGAAGACAUCUAAGCUAGUCUGGGACUGGCUCUCCAAGGUCAAUGAAGGCAUCUCAACCCAGAGAGAUCAGAGAAUCAGUGUCCUUCGCAACCUCUUCAACUGCUUCAAGCGAAAUGACAAUGAGAAUGUCCAGCACACUUUUGACCGACUCACUGACAUCACAAAUGAGCUUCAAGCCCUCGGCGCUACUGAGAUCACCAAACAUGAAGUUGUCAAGACACUACUGAGAUCACUUGAUAGUUCGUUUGACAUCCUAGCCCCGAUGAUUCAAGAACGUCCUGAUUUCAAGACACUCGAUCCAUCUGACAUACUUGAGAGGCUCAACACACAUGAGUUUCAGCUUUCUGAAAAAAGAGAUAUCUACGGUCCAAACUAUGGGCGAACUCCUGCCUUGAAGGCAAAAGCUAUCUCCUCAUCUGAAGAAGAAUCUGACAGCAGUUCUGAUGAUCCUGAAGAUGUUGGAAGAGAACUUGCUAUGCUUGUGAAGAAGUUCCAAAAAUUCACCAAGAAGAAAGGCUUCAGAAAGUCUUCCCGAUCAAGCUCAAGGAAUGAUGAAGCUUCUGCUCACGACUACAAGAAGAAAACAUGUCAUAAGUGCAAGAAACCUGGCCACUUCAUCUCUGAGUGUCCACGGUGGGACAAUGAGAACAAAAAGAAGAAGAAGAGCAAGGAAUAUGACUCUGACGACAAGAAGAAGAAGAAAUACUCAAAGUCUUCGUCCAAGUCUUCCUCAAAGUCUUCAUCACACAAGAAGAGCUCAUCUGGCAAGGCACGUGCGUUUGUUGGCAAGGAAAUGGACUCGGAGGAGGAGUCCGCUUCUGAGGAGGCGGAGGUGGAGUCUGAGGAGGAGUUCGAUUCAGGCGUCGCAAGUCUGGCUACAGCAUACGUUGCCAAGUCCAUCUUCAAUACUGAAGACAAUGACCUCGUCACCGACACCGAUGCAAAUGACAAGGACUACUCCGCUUCUACCUACUGCUUCAUGGCUCGCGGUGACAAGGUAAACACACGCACUACUCACUAUCAAACAUCUAGUGACGAUGACUCUGAUUGUGAUUCAAAACCCAGCUACAAAACACUUGCUAAAAUUGCAACUGAACAGCAGAAAGCUAUGGAACAUAUUCAAAAACUGUUAGACAGAAGCGAUGAUCUGUUAGGUGCUGAAAUGACUCGAUCUGAAUCCUUAAUUGAAGACAUAAAAAAUCUUCACGUUAAGUAUCAGGAACUUGAAAGUCAUCAUGAAACUCUCUCAACAACUCAUGAAAAGCUUUCCUAUGAUCAUCUUCAAAGGAAGCAAGAUCUUGAGAAAUUGAGAGCGGUUCAUGAAGAUCUUCAAAAGGAAAACGAGUCACUUCACUCCUAACAGAUCAUUCCCGCUCAGGAAGGAUUUGAACCACCAUGUCUUAAAUGCAUUGAGCGUGAUAAUGCUACUUCUGUUGCUAAAUGUUCUACUGCUACUACUGUUGCAAUAUCUUCAACUGUUGAUGUGGUAACUAAGCCCUCUGCUGAGGAUACCACUGCUAUUGCUGAUGAGAAUGCUAGGUUGAAGACAUUGCUUGAAACAGGGAUGUACAAAAGUGUUAAAGGGCAUCAGACACUAUGAGAUGUCCUCAAAAAGCAGAUUCUGAACCGAAACCCGAGGAAAGAGGGUGUUGGGUUCGUAAGGAAAAUGAAUGCUGAUGGCUCUUACUGGAAACCUGAGCAGUACCCCAAAACCAUGUGGGUUGCUGCAAAGGAACCUUCAGCAGACCCAUCCAAUCUAUCUGGCUUCACCUGUGCUAACCCCAUUAUCAUUGAUGAAUCCUUUGAUGCAAACUAUAUACUGUUUAAGAAUCAGAAUGGUGAAGUGUUUGCGAGGUACAUUGGUACUAACUGCAGGAAUGGACCACCUAUGAAGAAGAUCUGGGUUCCGAAAAGGUGUCUGGAGAAUCUUCCUGUGAAUGUCAUCAUGACACCUCAUGUGAAGAAGACAAACCUCAGACCAAAGGCUUCAUACGGUCCAAAGGCUUCAUACAGAUAGAGGACUCACCUGAGUCGCACUAACGCAAAUGUUUUGCAGGGAAACCAUACUCAGGCAUAUGAAUAUGAGAGUGGUUCAUCAAACCGCCAUGUUCAUAAGACCAAGAACUAUUCUGCUUAUUCUUAUGAGUACUAUUGUCCGCCUGCAAGACUGUUUGCUAGGGCUCCAAAGCCAAAAUUCUCAGAUGCUGCACUUAGACUUAUUGCUUCUCAGCCACCCUUGAAGAUGUGGGUGGCUAAAAAAGCUUAACUCUCUUUUGCAGGGAAAGGUCUCCAGCAGAAAACCAAAAUCGUCUGACGCCAUUGCUGGGGACCUUAAACAUCUUGUAGGGCGCAAGAUCAAAUGCCCAAAUGGUCUUACUAUGUACUUCGUUCCUGAAUCGCUUGCUACUCUCCCUAUUAGUCCUAAUCUGGCAUCGGAGGCUUGGGCAUGCUGGCAUGAGGAACCUCCACACCCUGGCAAAUAAGAAGCAUGUCAUAGGCAUCGAGGGCGUCAAGUUCAAGAAAGAUCACUUAUGCGGUGCCUGUGAGGCAGGAAAGAUGACGAGGGCCAAACAUCCUCGAAGACAAUCAUGACCACUACUCGACCCUUCGAACUGCUUCACAUGGAUCUUUUUGGUCCCACUCAUUACUCAACUCUUACUACUACUGCAUGCCUCUAUGGCUUCGUUAUUGUUGAUGAUUACUCUAGAUACACUUGGGUGCACAUAAUCCUUUACAAGACUGAAGUGCAGGAUGUCUUCAGACGCUUCGCAAAUCGAGCUAUGAACAAUUAUGGCGCCAAGAUAAAGCACAUCAGAAGUGACAAUGGCACUGAAUUCAAGAACACUGGCCUUGAUACAUAUCUUGAUACCUUGGGCAUCACACAUGAAUUCUCAGCCCUGUACACGCCACAGCAGAAUGGCGUCGUCGAACGCAAGAACAGAACACUCAUUGAGAUGGUCAGAACGAUGCUAGAUGAAUACAAGACCCCAAGAAAAUUCUGGCCUGAAGCCAUUGAUACUGCAUGCCAUACAAUCAAUCAUGUUUAUCUUCACAAGCUUCUGAACAAGACAUCCUAUGAGCUCCUUACUGGCAAGAAGCCAAAUGUCAGUUACUUCAGAGUAUUUGGCGCAAGGUGCUGGAUCAAGGACCCACAUCACACCUCAAAGUUUGCACCAAAAGCACAUGAGGGUUUUAUGCUUGGAUAUGGAAAGGAUUCGCACACCUACAGAGUCUUCAAUCUCUUUCAUUACAAAGUGGUUGAAACAGUGGAUGUGCGGUUCGAUGAGACCAAUGGUUCACAAAGAGAGCAACUGCCAACUGUGCUAGAUGAAGUUCCAUCCAGUGAAUCAAUCAAGCUAAUGGGAAAUGGAGAAAUUAUACCUUCUAAAGCUCAUCCUGAAGAAGAACUUAUCAUCUCAGCACCUGAUCAACAUGAAGACAAUGCUCAGCCUGAAGACAUUCCUUCUAACAACGACAAUGAUGAGCAAGAGCAAAGUCUUCACCCUGUACAUCCUCGCAUUGCCAAUGAAGUGCAGAUUGAAAGAAUAAUUGAUAGCAUCAAUGCACCCGGUCCACUCACUCGUUCAAGGGCAACUCAGCUAGCAAAUUUUUGUGGGCACUUCGCAUUCGUCUCAAUAACAGAACCCAAGAAAGUUGAAGAAGCCUUCAUGGAACCUGAAUGGAUUCAAGCUAUGCAAGAAGAGCUUCAACAGUUUGAGCUGAAUAAUGUAUGGGAACUAGUUAAGCGUCCUGAUCCACGGAAGCACAAUAUAAUAGGCACCAAAUGGAUAUACCGCAACAAGCAAGAUGAGCAUGGUCAAGUUGUCAGAAACAAAGCUCGUCUCGUUGCUCAAGGAUAUACUCAAGUGGAAGGCAUUGACUUCGAUGAAACAUUUGCUCCUGUGGCUAGACUUGAAGCCAUACGCAUACUGCUGGCCUAUGCAAAUCGUCACAACAUACUUCUAUAUCAAAUGGAUGUGAAGAGUGCUUUUCUCAAUGGCAAGGUUGAAGAAGAAGUGUAUGUUGCACAACCGCCUGGCUUUGAAAAUCCAAAACAUCCUGACAUGGUAUACAAGCUCAACAAGGCACUGUAUGGCCUCAAACAAGCCCCUCGGGCCUGGUAUGACACACUCAAAUACGUCCUGAAGAGCAAAGGCUUCAUACCUGGUUCCCUAGACCCCACUCUCUUCACGAAGACAUAUGAUGGUGAACUGUUUGUGUGCCAAAUAUAUGUGGAUGACAUUAUCUUCGGCUGCACCAAUCAGAAGUACAGUGAAGAGUUUGGAUAUAUGAUGCAAGAGCAAUAUCAGAUGUCCAUGAUGGGAGAGCUGAAGUUCUUCCUCGGUCUUCAAAUACGACAACAACGCAACGACAUCUUCAUAUCUCAAGAGAAGUAUCUCAAAGAUUGCCUGAAGAAGUUCGGUAUGCAAGACUGCAAAGGCUUCACAACACCAAUGCCAGCCAAACAUCAUCUGGGUCCCGACGACAAUGGUAAAGAGUUCGAUCAAAAGGUAUACCGCUCCAUGAUUGGUUCUUUACUUUAUCUAUGUGCAUCUAGGCCAGAUAUUAUGCUUAGUGUUUGCAUGUGUGCUCGAUUUCAAGCGGCACCAAAGGAGUCGCAUCACUUAGCUGUGAAGCGAAUUCUUCGAUAUUUGGCUCACACCCCAACUCUAGGAUUAUGGUAUCCAAAGGGCUCAGAGUUUGAUCUGGUUAGAUUCUCGGAUGCUGAUUAUGCUGGUGACAAAGUUGAUCGAAAGUCUACAUCAGGCACAUGUCACUUUCUGGGACGAUCACUUGUAUGUUGGUAUUCAAAGAAGCAGAACUGUGUAUCUCUCUCCACUGCUGAAUCUGAAUACAUUGCUGUUGGAUCUUGCUGCGCUCAACUUCUGUGGAUGAAGCAAACACUCAAGGACUAUGGCAUUCAUCUGAAGCAAGUGCCACUUUACUGCGACAAUGAAAGCGCCAUCAAGAUCGCCAACAACCCAGUUCAUCACUCGAAGACAAAGCACAUUGAAAUUCAUCAUCACUUUCUCAGAGAUCAUGUUGUGAAGGAAGGUAUUGAUGUCAUACACGUCAACACUGAAGAGCAAUUGGCAGAUAUCUUCACCAAGCCCUUGGAUGAGAAGAGAUUUUGCAAGUUACGGUGUGAGCUAAAUAUCCUGGAAUGCUCAAAUGUCCUGUGAUUAGGCACACAUCCUAACCCUUAUGCAUAUUGAUGACUUAGAUGUGCAACACACGAAGUAAAGUAUAUCUUCAAUCAAUGAUGACAUACAUUCUAAGUAUGAAUACAUUAAUGUGGAAUUUGACUUCGGAGUGCCACGAUAAUUGUGCGCCGUGUUUGGGUCUAAUACUUCCUAUACGGUGGCUAACGCCACCACCAAAUGUUCUAUUUUGAAGUGUUUCACUCAUGGCGUUACCUUGCAAUGUCUUCACAUUUGGUUUGGCUUCGAUCUCAACAUAUCUUCAUGAUUAUCUUCACUAUGUUGAUUAUAUAUAUAUAUAUAUAUAUAUAUAUAUAUAUAUAUUAGUGUUCUAUCCUCUACAGCAUUCACUUAUAGCUAUGUCUUCAUUGUUGAAUCUUUUGAACUAAGUGAAUGUGAUCGGACCCUAACCUCUCUAUGCUUUCUAUCUCAAAUUCAAUCUCUCCAAAUCAUAUGCAUUCUAUUGAAACUGUCGAAUGUCUUCUCUGCGUCCUUGUCAGCAGAAGAUACAGAGACAACCAUUAAGUCCAUUUUCAAUGCUCAUUCCUCCACAUGAAGUAGGAACGACCACCCGACAAUCAAGGCAUGCGUGGGACGUGGAACAAACCCCAAAAUUCUGCAUAAUGGCCACGCGUUCCUCAGAUGCGAAUCGCCAGGGGCACCUGUGUAAUAGCGCAAUGCCGCCCAUGUACCUAUAAAUACACACUUCACAGCGGUCAUUAUCUCUUCUUCCACUCCCGCAUGAACCCUAGCGCCACCGCUAGCCCUCGACGACGCCGGCGACGAAGCGCUUCGCUGCCGCAACCUCUCCUACGUUGUCUUCACGCCGACCGCGGACAUCGUCCUCUCCGCCGUCGCCGUAGGUGUCCUCCGUCGCCAAGUUAGGGCACGGAAGAUCGAACUGCUCGGCCUCAUCUUCCACUUCGUCUAGCAGUUCUUAGUGUGGUAAAUAAAACUUCCUUUUUACAGCACCAUUGAUCCUAUGGAUUUGUCACUUUCUACCACAAGCAGUUUCUAUUCACACAAGUUAGAUCUCUCUCAUACUGCAUCUCAUAACAUGCCUAGUAUAUUCACUUAUGCUUCACAAAGUAGUUAGAUUCCUCACUUGUACUGAUCUGGAACCAACUCCUUAUCUAUGAGUGAAUGUCUUCGCAAAAUGAGGUCAAUGUCUUCUAAACUGAUUUAUCUUCAAAAUCUUCUGAGAAUGCAUAUGACCUCUUCCCCUUCCCUCGCACCUUAAUGCUGUCACAGGUACAUGUCCGUGGGAGAAUCCUUUGGUUCUCAUAGUCUGCAUUCAUUUGCAGAAUUCUUAUAGCAUCACAUUAAUUCUCCCGAAGCCAGUUCCUGUUGGUCCAGCAAGCGAAAACCUUUAAAGCAUUUGAACGUGUUGAAGCCUUUCAAGUUAAAUUUGAUGGCUUCAGAGAAAGCAGCAAGGAAGGGUGGCAGAAAGCGUCAUGGAGAAACAUCCAGAGAACUGCCAGAUGAACUCUCAGAACUGUACAAGACAGAUCCUGAAGAGGAUUACAAUCAGCGCAAGACCCGAAUCCAAUGGAUUCAAAGAUAUUGGGCAGAACAAUGGUUCAAAUACCGAUUUGUAACCCAGGAAUAUGCUGAGAAAAAUGCCAUCAAGAGACCGUGGGGAGACAUCCUAUACAAGAAUCUUCUGCCCAGGUCCAGAGAUGAAGCCAUUGAACAAGGCUUCUAUCCCUGCAUGGUCCGUGGGCCACAGCCUGCUGAUGCACACCCAUCGUCACUACUAUGGUGUCGUGAUGACAAUCUGUUCAAGCGCAACUUCCAGUUUGCCCAAAACUCAGCGAAGCAGAACAAGAAGACUUUGGGGUUAGACUUCAACCCUGGUCCCUCAGCACCAAGGGCAGAUGGCACACGAGAUGCAGAACCCAAUGUCAUCGGUCCUUUCUACAACCUUGAGGGCCUCAUCACCCGCAUCUUAGUUCAAGGGACUGCAGUGAAUGAGCCUGCAGCUGACGCUGAAUCAGAAGAAGCUCCUGCAGCGCCGAAGACAAAGAAGAUGAAGAAGCCUAAAGCUUCAAAGCCUGCCCCCUCACCAAAAAUCUCAAGGGCGAAGCCACUGGCAACUGCACCUCCUGAAGACAGUGUGCAGUCCGAAGACUUAUCUCGCAUCUCCAAGCCCCAGAAAGUCAAGAUGCCUCUGCCUCACACCGGACAAGAGCUAACCGCUACUGCCAUUCUGCGCAAUGACGACAUUGAUCUGUCAAGUGAUGAAGAUCUAGCAGAUGACGCUCUUGAGCAACUCAUCAAGAGCAAAGAAGAAGCAGAAAUCUUCAAUGAUCUGCCUCUCUUUGAUGUGACCAUCAUCCACAACUUCAUUGAUGAGUGGUUUGACACGCCAAACAUCAGCUUUGAAGAUCUGCAGCUACCAAUUGGCCUCAGUGUCGCCUUCCAAGGCGCCAUUGCUUGAGAACUCGCUAUUGCCCAGCGCAUUGUUGAACUGAAGCAAAAGAUUGACUAUGAAAAGGCCCAGUUCAAGGAGCAUAUGGCCAAGCUCAGCGUGCAGGAAGUGAAGAACUUCAAGAGUAUGAUGCACGAGCUCAAGGAAGCCUUUGUAAAGAAACGUGCAGAAGCUCAGGGUUCGCGUGAGCGCAUGAAGACUCUGACUGACAAAUGUGUGCAAGCCUACAAUGAGGCUGAGAAGCGCAAGGCCCUUGGGCGUCCUGGCAUCGACCCCAGGAUGGCCGCAAAGAAGAAGAAGCCUGCUACGACUGAACCUGACGCACCACGGCAGGAAGCAGUUCCGAUUGUCUUCCCAACUAGACUGACUGGCUCGAAGCCAAAAAGCCAGUCAACCGCUUCAGAGCUCAAGAAGACAAGGACUGCUGAGGCUGAAGCCAGGAAGAGGAAACAUUCUGAAGCCUCUCCAACUACCCCCUCCAAGAAGAAGAGGAAGACCAAGAAAGAUCGGGCUGCUUCCACAGAGCCCUUAAUAGUUGAACCCAUUUCUAUGGUCUAUCCUGAAGCUGAAUGCCAUGAACGCCAACUGACCAUCCAUGAGCCUGCUUCCACAGAGGCUCAUGAAGCUGAAGACUUUCUAGUAGCUGAUCCCAUCGCUGCUCAAGACAUUGGUCAACAUGACAUUGUAGAAGAUGGUGCAGUCCUUCCUCAGAACAACAAACUCAUCAGCAUUGGUUGUCCACUGACGCCAAUUGCACAGGAUGCUUCAUGGGCGGAUUGCCCACAAGAGGAAGAAGACUUUGAGGCCCAGCCCACUCCAACUCCACAGGCGUCGCCCGUGUUGCGCAGGCUUCGCAAAGGUCCAAGGCCUCAAGUCUCUGCUGAAGACAAUCUGGCUGCAUCAGCCGCGGAAGAAGAAGUCCCACAAGUUCCCACUCCCGUAUCCCACCAAGAAGCAGUUCUCAAGGAGAACGUGCUUAUGACCGACCCUCCAGCUCGUCAAGUGGAGGCUGAAAAUCUUGAGGCUGCCACAACCACCAAUGAAGCUAAUAUGGAGCCCUCCCAAACGGAAGAAGAAGACAGCGAAGCCAUUGAUCCCGUCACUUCUGUUCCCGAGUCUGCUGCCGGUCCAUAGUUCGACUAUCAUGUUGAGCACAGGCCUCAGGUACAGAAGCCAAUCCCAAGAUUGCCAAGGUUCCCAGGUCCUGCAUCAGCACCUGGCUCCUUCAAUAUCAAUGGCUCCAGGGCAGACAACACAUUCUUCGAUAGCUCCAGGAACCCCUACUCAAGGGAAAUGAUAUCAUCUGACCGGUUUUGGAGCUAUCCUCAGUGAAGCUAUUACUCAUGCAUUCUUUACAACCAAGGUCGCAUCUUCCCACACAAGCGCCUUGACAUUGAAGCCAUAGCUGGUCUGCCCUGUCUGGAAGAAGCUUUGGAUUGCUUCAAGGAAGUUGGACUGCUGUCGUUCGUUACUGACCAAGAGCAUUGGAAUGAAGAGCUGCUACUCCAAUUCUAUGCCACACUUCACAUCCGCGGGUACAGCAGAGAUCCGAAGACUUGGGUCCUGGAGUGGAUGACCGGAAAUGUUCAUCACAAAGCCAAAGCAUUUGACAUCAUUGAGCUCACUGGUUUGCCCACUCUUGGCGAUCUCUACGAGCAUGGCUGUCAGCUGCAUAGUGAAGCUAUUGAGAGCAUCUUUAAGAGGCCGGAACCUGAUAUGAGUCAGAUGCUCAGCAUGAUGAAGCCAUUGCCCCAAGAUGCUGCUUAUCCAACAGAGUUCUUCGUUGAAGACCUUGAGUAUCUGCCACGAACCAUCUAUCACAUCAUCAGGCGAACUCUCUGGCCCAUCAAAGGGCACUCUCCAAAUGCCAAGCUUGAGGGUGCAAUGAAGACUUUGGUCUUCUAUAUUCUUCAUGGAAAAUGCUUCAAUGCAUAGGACUUAUUCAUCCGCCAACUUGCUGCAUCGGGCUCUGAUCUGUUUGGCUUGAAGUUCUACGCCCCAUGGGUAAUGCGGCUAAUUAAACUUCACUCCGAUAUCUCAUAUCAGCCAUCUGCUCGCAAUCAUAAGAUUUUUCUGCCUGAUGUGGAUAUCUCUACUGAAGCCAUCUAUCCUGAGCCUGCAAAGGAACCUCUAAGUCUUCAGAAUGCAGAGCAUCAGAGUUUCUCACAGAACAUUGAAGGAGUUGAAGCAGUCACUUGGGUGUAUCCUUUGGCUGGCACUACACGUGCACCACACCCUGCGUUUACUGAAGCCACUGAUAGUACAACUGCUCCAAGACCCAAGAAGUGCACUCGUGUUCUCAACGACCGAGAGCUUCUUGUGGCUCUUCAUCAGAAACAGGAUAGGCAUCAUGAGUGGCUGAAGCAUCAGAUGAAAAGCCUCUUGGUGGAAGUUAAUCGCAUUCGCAAUCUUGCCACCAAGAAUGCUUUCGUUGCCCAUGAAACCUGUCGCCGUACAUGGACAGGGCUAACGAUAAUGUGUUCUGAAUAUGAUCUCCAAGAGGAUGGCUUCACUGAGCGAUUCAAGUUUGACUCCACACCUCCUCGAAGAGCUGUGCUGCUAGGAACUCCACCCCUUGAAGACUCUGAGUUCUCUUCAUCUGCUGCAACAGUGACUGCCAGAGUUAUCGAGGAUGAAGAUGAUGCUACUUCACCACCACCUCCUUCAGCACGCGUCAACUCUGCUCCAAGCUCUUCAGCACCGCCAAACACCACCAACGACCCUGCUACUUCACCUACUCCGCAUGGGAACGAGUAGAUGCUCUAUGUCUUCAAACCUUUUUGGUCCUUACUCACAAAAGGGGGAGAAGCAUAUGAGGUUGAUAGUCUUCAAGCGGUUCCAUAUGGGCGGGUGCUUUAUAUUUUGCUUCGUGCUUACAACUCUCGUUUUGCUACAUUUGGUUCUUUGAGUUGUAACACUUAAACUCGAUGGUUGUCUGCUACUUAUCUGCCACUUUGUUUUGCGAUGAUAAAUUCCGCAUGUGCGACGAUAAAUUCCGCACUUAGAUCAUUCUGCAGACAUUCAUUUUGCAUUAUGCAUGUCAUUAUCUUCAUAUACUUUCACAUGCAUAAUGGAUUGUCAUCAUAAGUUGAAGUGGAUCUCCACAAGUACAAUCUGCCAUGUGCAUUUGCAUUCCAAAAGCAAAUUACCUACAAGCCCUUCCAACUUAUGAAGACAAUUCCUUAUCCUUUACAAUUUCACAGAUUAUAUUCCCCGUUGAAAACUUCAACUAGUUUGUCAUCACUCACCAAAAAGGGGGAGAUUGUAAGUGCAUCUAGUGCCACCCCUAGUUGGUUUUGGAGUAUUGACGACAAACCUAGUUGAGGGACUAAUGUGUUUGUGAGAAUUGCAGGAUAACACAGGUAGAAGUCCCUCGUUGAUUCGGUUUUCCUACCAGAGAUGACCCCUAAAAAUGUAUGAAGACAUUGAAGUCAAAGGUGGUAUAUGAAGAUAUUCACAUUGAAGACUAUGACAAGAGAAGACACCACAUGAAGCCUAUGGAGCUCGAAGACUUAGAUCUUUCAUAGUUCUUUUUCUUUUGUGUUGAGUCAUAGGAACCACCGUACUAUUAAGUGGGGUCCAAGAGAACUAGUCAGACUGACUGAAGUGAUGCCUAACCAAAAAACCUAUGUCUUCGAGUGAAGACUAUGAGAGCGAAUCUUGUCCAGAGUCGGACAAGUCAGCUUUGCUUGUAGCCCAAGUAAAGUUGGCGUGUGAGUUUGAAAUCUGACCGUUGGAACACGUGUCAAUUCCUUAGUGACCCAGGGUCAUUUCGGACAAAUCAGGUCGGGUUGCCAAGUGGCUAUAAAUAGCCCACCCCCCACAACAAUAAACGGUUGGCUGCUCAGAUUGAGAGUACGGCUUUUGUCGUUUGAGAGCAACCCACCUCGAAGCCUUUGAGAGAGAAUUCCUUGCGAGGAUAAAGCCCUAACCACCUAGAGCCAGAGAGAAUUGGGCAUCACUUAAGUCUUCUUGUCUGUGUGAUCUGAAGACUUAUUACACUUGAGGACUGUGCAUCCUCCAGCCGGUUAGGCGUCGCAUUCUGAGCAUCCAAGAGACAUUGUGGAUUGCCGGUGAACGAAGUCUGUGAAGGUUUGGGAGUCUACCUUGAAGACUUGCCAGAGUGAUUGGGCGAGGUCUGCGUGACCUUAGCUCAAGGGGAAUACGUGAGGACUUGGUGUCCUGAGCUGCGUGUUCAGGACUGUGUGUCCGGGACUAUGUGUCCUAAGGUUUAAAUACCUAGCCGCCCCAACCAGACGUACAGUUGUCAUAGCAACUGGAAUUGGUCCAACAAAUCAUUGUCUUCAACGAGUCACUGGUUUCAUCUUCCCUUCCCUUUACUUACUGUUGCUCCUUGUGAAGUCAUUGUAUGUUUGCACUAUUUUUUGUCUUCACUGAGUGACUGCAUGCUCUGUAUGGCUUCAUAAUAUCUUCCUACCUGAUCCUUACUACAUUGCUGCUAUUAAGUCAUUGUGCUUUCACUUCAUUGAACACUUGACUAUGGCUUGCCUAGUGUAGUCUACCUUCCGCUGCAUGGUAAUAGGUUUAUUUCUAUCGUUUAUCUUCAUAACUUCCAUGUUUUGAAGACUUUCAUAAAAAUCGCCUAUUCACCCCCCCUCUAGUCGAUAUAACGCACUUUCAAAAGUGAUGACGCAUUUCAAUGUGCUUUGUCUUCGAGUGCUGAACUGGGUUGUUGGCAAUCUUGAUGGCGCUUUCAUUGUUGCAGUAGAGUGGCACUUGCUUCAGAUGAAUGCCAUAGUCUUUGAGUGUUUGCUUCAUCCAUAGAAGCUGAGCGCAGCAAGAUCCAGCAGCAAUGUAUUCAGAUUCAGCAGUGGAGAGAGAUACACAGUUCUGCUUCUUUGAAGACCAACAUACAAGUGAUCGUCCCAGAAAAUGACAUGUGCCUGAUGUAGACUUGCGAUCCACCUUGUCACCAGCAUAAUCAGCAUCCGAGAAUCCAACCAGAUCAAACUCUAAGCCCUUUGGAUACCAUAAUCCUAAUGUUGGGGUGUAAGGCAAAUAUCGAAGAAUUCGCUUCAUAGCUAAGUGAUGCAAUUCCUUUGGUGCCACUUGGAAUCGAGCACACAUGCAAACACUAAGCAUAAUAUGUGGCCUAGAUGCACAUAGAUAAAGUAAAGAACCAAUCAUGGAGCGGUAUACCUUUUGAUCGAACUCUUUACCAUUGUCGUCGGGACCCAGAUGAUGUUUGGCUGGCAUUGGCGUUGUGAAGCCUUUGCAGUCUUGCAUCCCAAAUUUCUGCAUGCAAUCUUUGAGGUACUUCUCUUGAGAUAUGAAGAUGCCGUUGCGUUGCUGACGUAUUUGAAGACCAAGGAAGAACUUCAGCUCACCCAUCAUGGACAUUUGAUAUUGCUCUUGCAUCAUAUAUCCAAACUCUUCACUGUAUUUCUGAUUGGUGCAGCCGAAGAUAAUGUCAUCCAUAUAUAUUUGGCACACAAACAGUUCACCAUCAUAUGUCUUCGUGAAGAGAGUGGGGUCGAGGGAACCAGGUUUGAAGCCUUUGCUCUUCAAGAAGUCUUUGAGUGUGUCAUACCAAGCCCGAGGGGCUUGUUUGAGGCCAUACAGUGCCUUGUUGAGCUUGUACACCAUGUCAAGAUGUUUUGGAUCUUCAAAGCCAGGCGGUUGUGCAACAUACACUUCUUCUUCAAUCUUGCCAUUGAGAAAAGCGCUUUUCACAUCCAUUUGAUAUAGAAGAAUGUUAUGAUGAUUUGCAUAGGCCAGCAGUAUGCGUAUGGGUUCAAGUCUAGACACAGGAGCAAAUGUUUCAUCGAAGUCAAUCCCUUCAACUUGAGUGUACCCUUGAGCAACGAGACGAGCUUUGUUUCUGACAACUUGACCAUGAUCAUCUUGCUUAUUGCGAUAUAUCCAUUUGGUUCCUAUUAUAUUGUGCUUGCGAGGAUUAGGACGCUUAACCAGUUCCCAUACAUUACUCAACUCAAACUGUUAAAGCUCUUCUUGCAUAGCUUGAAUCCAUUCAGGUUCCAUGAAGGCUUCUUCAACUUUCUCGGGUUUAGAUAUUGAGACGAAUGCGACGUGCCCACAGAAAUUUGCUAGCUGUGUUGCCCUCGAACGAGUGAGUGGACCUGGUGCACUGAUGCUAUCAAUUAUUCUCUCAAUUUGUACUUCAUUUGCAACAUGAGGAUGUACAGGACGAAGAUUUUGCUCUUGUUGAUCAUUGUCAUCGUUAGAAGGAUUGUCUUCAUGCUGAGCAUUGUCUUUAGUUUGAUCAGGUGCGGAGAUGAUAAGUUCCUCUUCAGGCUGAGAUUCAGAUGGUAUGAUUUCUCCAGUUCCCAUAAGUUUGAUUGAUUCACUGGAUGGAACUUCAUCUAGCACUUUUGGCAGGUGCUCUCUUUGUGAGCCGUUAGUCUCAUCGAACCGCACAUCCACUAUUUCAACCACUUUACAGUGAAAAAGGUUGAAGACUCUGUAGGAGUGCGAAUCCUUUCCAUAUCCAAGCAUAAAACCUUGAUGUGCUUUUGGUGCAAAUUUUGAAGUGUGAUGUGGAUCCUUGAUCCAGCACCUGGCACCAAAUACUCUGAAGUAACUGACAUUUGGCUUCUUGCCAGCAAGGAGCUCAUAGGAUGUCUUGUUGAGAAGCUUGUGAAGAUAAACACGGUUGAUGAUAUGGCAUGCAGUAUCAAUGGCUUCAGGCCAGAACUUUCUUGGAGUCUUGUAUUCAUCAAGCAUCGUCCAGGCCAUCUCAAUAAGUGUUCUAUUCUUGCGUUCCACGACGCCAUUCUACUGCGGUGUGUACGGAGCUGAGAAUUCAUGUGUAAUGCCCAGAGUAUCAAGAUAAGUGUCUAGACCAGUGUUCUUGAAUUCAGUGCCAUUGUCACUUCUGAUGUGCUUGAUCUUGACGCCAUAGUUGUUCAUGGUUCAAUUGGCGAAGCGUCUGAAGACAUCCUGCACUUCAGUCUUGUAGAGGAUUAUAUGCACCCAAGUAUAUCUUGAAUAAUCAUCAACAAUGACAAAGCCAUAGAGACAAGCAGUAGUAGUAAGAGUUGAGUAAUGAGUGGGACCAAAAAGGUCCAUGUGGAGUAGUUCGAAGGUUUGAGUCGUUGUCAUGAUUGUCUUCGAGGGAUGCUUGACCCUCGUCAUCUUUCCUGCUUCACAGGCACCGCAUAAGUGAUCCUUCUUGAACUUGACGCCCUCGAUGCCUAUGACAUGCUUCUUCCUUGCAAGGGUGUGGAGGUUCCUCAUGCCAGCAUGCCCUAGCCUCCGAUGCCAGAGCCAACAUUCAGAAGCUUUUGCUAGAAGACAUAUGGCAAGUUGUGGUCCUGCUGAGAAAUCUACCACGUACAAAUCAUCUUUCCGAUACCCUUGAAACACUAGAGACUUGUCAGAUUCCAUUAGAACAAGGCAACGAUAUUUUCCAAACAUCACAAUCAUGUUUAAAUCGCAAAGCAUUGAGACAGACAUUAAGUUGAAACCAAGGGAUUCAACAAGCAUGACUUUAUCCAUGUGUUGAUCCUUUGAGAUUGCAACUCUACCUAGAUCCAAUACCUUGCUUUUACCAGUGUCAGCAAAUGUGAUGUGACUUUUGUCAAAUGGACGUAAGGUUGAGUCCAUGAGAAGGCUUCGCUUGCCAGUCAUGUGAUUAGUACACCCACUAUGAAUAAUCCAUUCUGAAGCAGCUGGUGUCGUACCCUACAGUGCAGUUAGGGGGAUAGGCUUCACGAAGAGAAUUGUGAAGCAUAAACAUUUGACGAGCAAGUGGAUUAUGAAAGCUUAGAUCAAGGUUAGGACUGAUAGGGUAAGUAGCAAGCGACUCAGGAACAAAAUACAUAAUAAGACCAUUUGGGCAUUUGAUCUUGCGCCCUACAAGAUGUUUAAGGUCCCCAGCAAUAGCUUCAGACGAUUUUGGUUUUCAGCUGGAGACCUUUCCCUGCAAAAGAGAGUUAAGCUUUCUUAGCUACCCACAUCUUCAAGGGUGGCUUAGAAGUAAUGAGUCUAAGUGCAGCAUCUGAGAACUUUGGCUUUAGAGCCCCAGCAAAAAGUCUUGCAGGUGGACAAUAGUACUCAUAAGAAUAAGCAGAGUAGUUCUUGGUCUUAUGAACAUGGCGGUUUGAUGAAACGCGCUCAUAUUCAUAGGCCUGAGUAAGGUUUCCCUGCAAAAAAUUUGUGUUAGUGCGACUCAGGUGAGUCCUCUGUCUGUAUAAAACCUUUGGACCGUAUGAAGCCUAUGGUCUAGGGUUUGUCUUCUUCAUGUGUGGUGUCAUGAUGACAUUCACAGGAAGAUUCUCCAAACAUCUUUUCAGCAUCCAGACUUUCUUCAUAGGCGGCCCAUUCCUGCAGUUAGUACCAAUAUACCUGGCAAACACUUCACCAUUCUGAUUCUUAAAUAGUUUAUAGUUUUCAUCAAAGGAUUCAUCAAUAACAAUGGGAUUAUCACAAGUGAAGCCAGAUAGGGUGGAUGGAUCCACUGAAGGUUCCUUUGCAGCAACCCAUGUGGUUUUGGGUUACUGCUCAGAUUUCCAGUAAGAGCCAUCAGCAUUCAUUUUCCUUUUGAACCCGACACCCUCUUUCCUAGGGUUUCGGUUCAGGAUCUGCCUUUUGAGAACAUCACAUAGUGUCUGAUGCCCUUUGAGACUUUUGAACAUCCCUGUUUCAAGCAAUGUCUUCAACCUAGCAUUCUCAUCAGCAAUAGCAGUGGCAUCCUCAGCAGAGGGGUUAGUUACCACAUCAACAGUUGAAGAUAAUGCAACAGUAGCAGUAGUAGAACAUUUAGCAACAGAAGUAGCAUUAUCAUGCUCAAGGCAUUUAAGACAUGGUGGUUCAAAUCCUUCCUGAGCGGGACUGAUCUGUUCAGCGCGAAGUGACUCGUUUUCCUUUUGAAGAUCUUCAUGAGCCGCUCUCAAUUUCUCAAGUUCUUGCUUCCUUUGAAGAUAAUCAUAGGAAAGCUUUUCAUGAGUUGUUGAGAGCGUUACAUGACGACUUUCAAGUUCCUCAUACUUAACAUGAAGAUUUUUUAUGUCUUCAAUUAAGGACUGAGAUCGAGUCAUUUCAGCGUCCAACAGGUCAUCGCUUUUGUCUAACAGUUUUUGAAUAUGUUCCAUAGCUUUCUGUUGUUUAGUGGCAAGGGAAGCAAGUUUUGCAUAGCUGGGUCCAAAUUCAUCACCAGAUUCAUCAUCACUGGAUUCAGAUAGAUAGCAUUCAGUUACCUUAGCAUCUUUUGCCAUAAGGCAUGAUGUAGAAGAUGAUGAUUCUGGUUCGAAUGUCAUCGCUUUGAGAGAUUCCUUAAAGUCCUCAAACCAAGGAUCAUGACGAGUUUGAUGACCUUCAUAGACCUCAGAGAGACGGUCCCAGAUAAGCUUCGCAUGAUUGAGAUGCAUGAUAUUCCUGAACUGAUUUUGAGACAGACAGGAGCAGAUGACGUCCUUCGUCGUGAGGUUGAGAAGAGUGUACUUGCGAAUGUCAUCGGCUUCCGCCAUCUUGCACAGAUCAGUCAGACCAAUCUCAGUAAUGGUCCACAACUCGCUAUUUAUCGCCGUGAGGCGCUUCUUCAUCAUGGCCUUCCACUUGGGAUACUCAUGACCGUCAAAGAUGGGGCAUGAUACAGUCUUCAUUCCUGUGGUCUACAUAACUAAAACUCCAGGCGGUUAAACCAAAAUCACACAGAACAAGGGAGUACCUUGCUCUAAUACCAAUUGAAAGUGCGUUACAUCGACUAGAGGGGGGGGGUGAAUAGGCGAUUUUUAUGAAAGUCUUCAAAACAUGGGAGUUUUGAAGACAAACGAUAGAAAUGAACCUAUAACCAUGCAGCGGAAGGUAGACUACCCUAGAUAAGCCAUAGUCAAGUAUUCAAUGAAGUGAAAGCACAAAGACUAACAACAGCUAGGCAAUACGGAUCAGGAUGGAAGAUAAUAUGAAACCAAUCUGAACAAACACUCACACAGUGAAGACAAAUGGACAAUGCAAAUAGGCAAUGACUUCACAAGGACCAACUGUAAAUAAAGAGAUGGGAAUGAUAGAACCAGUGAGCUUGGUGAAGACAAAGGUUUGGUAGACCAGUUCCAACUAUGAUGACAGUUGUACGUCUGGUUAGGGCGGCUAGGUAUUUAAACCUGAGGACACACAGUCCCGGACACCCAGUCCUGAACAUGCAGCUCAGGACACUCAGUCCUCACCGUAUUCCCCUUGAGCUAAGGUCACACAGACCUCGCGCAAUCACUCUAGUAAGUCUUCAAGGUAGACUUCCAAACCUUCACAGACUUUGUUCACCGGCGAUCCACAAUGACUCUUGGAUGCUCAGAACGCGACGCCUAACCGGCUGGAGGAUUCACAGUUCUCAAGUGUAAUAAGUCUUCAGAUCACACAGACAGGAAGACUUCAGUGAUGCCUAACACUCUUUGGCUCUGGGUGGUUAGGGCUUUAUCCUCGCAAGGAAUUCUCUCUCAAAGGCUUAGAGGUGGGUUGCUCUCAAACGACAAAAGCCGUACUCUAACUCUAAGCAGCCAACCGUUUAUGGUUGUAGGGGGUGGGCUAUUUAUAGCCACUGGGCAACCUGACCUGGUUUGUCCGAAAUGACCCUUGGUCACUAAGGAACUGACACGUGUUCCAACGGUCAGAUUUCAAACACACAUGGCAACUUUACUUGGACUACAAGCAAAGCUGACUUAUCCAACUCUGGACAAGAUUUGCUCUCAUAGUCUUCACUCGAAGACAUAGGAUUUUGGUUAAGCAUCACUUCAGUCAUUCUGACUGGUUCUCUUGGACACCAUUUAACAGUACGGUGGUUCCUAUGACUCAACAAAGAAAAACACAGAACGACGAAACUGCUAAGUCUUCGCGCUCCAUAGUCUUCACGCGAUGUCUUCUCUUAUCAUAGUCUUCAAUGUGAAUGUCUUCACAUACCACCUCUGACUUCAAUGUUUUCAUACAUUUUUAGGGGUCAUCUCUGGUAGGAAAACCGAAUCAAUGAGGGACUUCUACCUGUGUUAUCCUGCAACUCUCACAAACACAUUAGUCCCUCAACUAGGUUUGUCGUCAAUACUCCAAAACCAACUAGGGGUGGCACUAGAUGCACUUACAACUUCCACCAAGAGAAAUUUGAUUCCCCCACUAAUCCCUUGCGGAUCUUGUUACUCUUGGGUGUUUGAGCACCCUAGACGGUUGAGGUCACCGUGGAGCCAUAGUCCUUUGUGGUGAAGCUUUGUGGUGUCGUUGGGAGCCUCCAAUUGAGUUGUGGAGAUUGCCCCAACCUUGUUUGUAAAGGUUCGGUCGCCGCCUCCAAGGGCGCCAAUAGUGGAAUCACGGCAUAUCGCAUUGUGUGAGGGCGUGAGGAGAUGCGGUGGCCCUAGUGGCUUCUUGGGGAGCAUUGUGCCUCCACACCGCUCCAAUGGAGACGUACUUCCCCCCAAAGGGAAGGAACUUCGGUAACACAUCCUCGUCUCCACCGGCUCCACUCUUGGUUAUCUCGUGCCUUUACUUGAGCAAGCUUAUUUGUGAUAUAUCUCUUGCUUGCUUGUGUUCCUAUCUUUGUUGCAUCAUAUAGGUUGCUCACCUAGUUGCAUAUCUAGACAACCUACUUUGAUGCAAAGUUUAAAUUGUUAAAGAAAAGCUAAAAAUUGUUAGUUGCCUAUUCACCCCCCCCUCUAGUCAGCCAUAUCGAUCCUUUCACUUAUGGUGAAAGCCCCUCCCGUGCCAUCCUCCUUGACGGGCACCCUCUUGGUCGCUGGUGGUGCAGCUCUGGAUUUCUUGCUCUUGCCGGUAGAUCUCUCGAGCAUAUCCUCGGUGGUAGCACAACACUCCGAAUAGGUGCGCUUGCCGGAGUGGGUGCGAGAGGUCUUGCCGGUCUUCUUUUUCCCUCCCGGGGCCUCAACGGCAGGAGUAAGUGCCUUGGCGGCGGCUGCUGCAACUGCUUCUCAAUAGAGUUGGUCAGCACAGAUCAACGCAUCCUUCUUGUCGGAGGGGACGGUGAUGAUGGUCAUCGGCCCAGGCAUCUUCAACAUAUUGUAGGCAUAGUGCGACGCCGCCAUGAACUUGGCUAGUGCCGGGCGGCCGAGGAUCCCGUUGUAGGGCAAGGGGAUCUCGGCCACAUCAAAGACAAUCGAUCCUCUCCGUCUUGUAGUUCAACUCACCUCCAAACGUCACGGGCAAUGUGACCUUCCCCUUCAGCUGGCUCCUCCCCGGAAUGACCCCUUGAAACGUACCCGUUUCCUCAAGGUCUCCAUCAGGAAUUUGCAGCCUUUUGAUACGUCUCCAACGUAUCUAUAAUUUUUGAUUGUUCCAUGCUAUAUUAUAUCAUGUUUUGGACAUUAUUGGGCUUUAUUAUAAACUUUUAUAUUAUUUUUGGGACUAACCUAUUAACCGAAGGCCCAGCCCAGAAUUGUUGUUUUUGCCUAUUUCAGAGUUUCGCAGAAAAAGAAUAUCAAACGGGGUCCAAACGGAAUGAAACCUUCGGGAACGUGAUUUUCGGAACAAACGUGAUCUAGAGGACUUGGACCCUACGUCAAGACAUCAACCAGGAAGGCACGAGGUAGGGGGCGCGCCUACCCCCCCCCCCCAGGCGCGCCCUCCACCCUCGUGGGGCCCACGUUGCUCCACCGAUGUACUUCUUAAUCCUAUAUAUACCUACGUACCCCCAAACUACCAGAUACAGAGCCAAAACCCUAAUUCCACCGCCAUACUUUCUGUAUCCACGAGAUCCCAUCUUGGGGCCUUUUCCGGAGCUCCGCCGGAGUGGGUAUCGAUCACGGAGGGCUUCUACAUCAACACCAUAGCCUCUUCGAUGAAGUGUGAGUACUUUACUUCAGACCUUCGGGUCCAUAGUUAUUAUCUAGAUGGCUUCUUCUCUCUUUUUGGAUCUCAAUACAAAGUUCUCCCCCUCUCUUGUGGAGAUCUAUUUGAUGUAAUCUUCUUUUGUGGUGUGUUUAUUGAGACCGAUGAAUUGUGGGUUUAUGAUAAAGUUUAUCUAUGAACAAUAUUUGAAUCUUCUCUGAAUUCUUUUAUGUAUGAUUGGUUAUCUUUGCAAGUCUCUUCAAAUUAUUAGUUUGGUUUGGCCUACUAGAUUGAUCUUUCUUGCAAUGGGAGAAGCACUUAGCUUUGGGUUCAAUCUUGCGGUGUCCUUUCCCAGUGACAGUAGGGGCAGCAAGGCAAGUAUUGUAUUGUUGCCAUCGAGGAUAACAAGAUGGGGUUUAUAUCAUAUUGCGUGAGUUUAUCCCUCUACAUCAUGUCAUCUUGCUUAAAGCGUUACUCUGUUCUCUUGAACUUAAUACUCUAGAUGCAUGCUGGAUAGCGGUCGAUGUGUGGAGUAAUAGUAGUAGAUGCAGGCAGGAGUCGGUCUACUUGUCUCGGACGUGAUGCCUAUAUACAUGAUCAUACCUAGAUAUUCUCAUAACCAUGCUCAAUUCUGUCAAUUGCUCAACAGUAAUUUGUUCACCCACCGUAAUACUUAUGCUCUUGAGAGAAGCCACUAGUGAAACCUAUGCCCCCGGGACUAUUGUCCAUCAUAUUAAUCUUCCAAUACUUAUUUAUUUCCUUUGCCAUUUAUUUUACUUGCAUCUUUAUUUCUCUUUAUCAUAAAAAUACCAAAAAUAUUAUCUUAUCAUAUCUAUCAGAUCUCACUUUCGUAAGUGACCGUGAAGGGAUUGACAACCCCUUUAUCUCGUUGGUUGCGAGGAGUUUAUUUGUUUGUGUAGGUGCGAGGGACUCGUGCGUGGCCUCCUACUGGAUUGAUACCUUGGUUCUCAAAAACUAAGGGAAAUACUUAUGCUGCUCUACUGCAUCACCCUUUCCUCUUCAAGGGAAAACCAACACAGUGCUCAAGAGGUAGCAAGAAGGAUUUCUAGUGCCGUUGCCGGGGAGUCUAUGCAAAAGUCAACAUACCAAGUACCCAUCACAAACCCUUAUCUCCCGCAUUACAUUAUUUGCCAUUUGCCUCUCGUUUUCCUCUCCCCCCACUUCACCCUUGCCGUUUUAUUCGCCCUCUCUCUAUCCGUCCUCCUUCUCUUUCUCUAUUUGCCUCUUUUUGCCCGUCUCUUGUUUGCUUGUGUGUUUGAUUGCUUGCUUGUCAAGAUGGCUCAAGAUAAUACCAAAUUGUGUGACUUUACUAAUACCAACAAUAAUGAUUUUAUUAGCACUCCAAUUGCUCCUCUUAUCGAUGCUGAAUCUUGUGAAAUUAAUGCUGCUUUGCUAAAUCUUGUCACGAAAGAUCCAUUUUCCGGCCUUCCUAGUGAAGAUGCCGCUACCAUCUAAACAACUUUGUUGAUUUGUGUGAUAUGCAAAAGAAGAAAGGUGUGGACAAUGAUAUUGUUAAAUUGAAACUAUUUCUUUUUUCGCUUAGAGAUCGUGCUAAAGCUUGGUUUUCGUCUUUGCCUAAAAAUAGUAUUGAUUCCUAGAAUAAGUGCAAAGAUGCUUUUAUCUCUAAGUAUUUUCCUCCCGCUAAGAUCAUCUCUCUUAGAAACGAUAUUAUGAAUUUUAAGCAACUUGAUCAUGAACAUGUUGCACAAGCUUGGGAUAGGAUGAAAUUAAUGAUACGUAAUUGCCCUACACAUGGUUUGAAUUUAUGGAUGAUUAUACAAAUUUUUUAUGCCGAAUUGAAUUUUGCUUCUAGAAACCUUUUAGAUUCGGCCGCGGGAGGCACUUUUAUGGAAAUCACUUUAGGAGAAGGUACUAAACUCCUAGAUAAUAUUAUGGUUAAUUAUUCUCAAUGGCACACCAAAAGAUCUACUAAUAAGAAAGUGCAUGCGAUAGAAGAAAUUAAUGUUUUGAGUGGAAAGAUGGAUGAACUUAUGAAAUUAUUUGCUAAUAAAAGUGUUUCUUAUGAUCCUAAUGAUAUGCCUUUGUCUAUUUUUAUUGAGAAUAAUAAUGAAUCUUUGGAUGCAAAUUUUGUUGGUAGGAAUAAUUUUGGUAACAACGCGUAUAGAGGAAACUUUAAUCCUAGGUCGUAUCCUAGUAAUUCCUCUAAUAAUUAUGGUAACUCCUACAACAAUUCUUAUGGAAUUUUUAAUAAGAUGCCCUCUGAUUUUGAAUCUAAUAUUAAAGAAUUUAUUACUUUGCAAAAGAAUUUCAAUGCUUUGAUUGAAGAAAAAUUGCUUAAGAUUGAUGAGUUGGCCAGGAACGUUGAUAGAAUUUCUCUUGAUGUUGAUUCUUUGAAACUUAGAUCUAUUCCACCUAAGCAUGAUAUCAAUGAGUCUCUCAAAGCCAUGAGAAUUUCCAUUGAUGAGUGCAAAGAAAGAACCACUAGGAUGUGUGCUAAGAAAGAUUCUUUAUAAAAGCGUGUUCUUCUAGUUUCCAUGAUAAUAAAGAUGAAGAUCUAAAAGUUAUUGAUGUGUACCCUAUUAAAUAUUUGUUUUGUAAUAUGAAUCUUGAUAAUGAUGGGACUGAAUAUGAUCCACCUUUACCUAGAAGGCGUUCCAAAAACUUGGAGUCUUUAGAUCUUGAUGCUAAAAUUGUUAAAAGUGGGAUUGAAGAAGUCAAAACUUUAAAUAUCGAUGAAUCCACUAUUUUGGAUUUAAGAAAUUUAAUUAUGAUAAUUGCUCUUUGAUAGAUUGUAUUUCCUUGUUGCAACCCGUGCUAAAUUCUCCUCAUGCUUAUAGUCAAAAUAAAGCCUUUACCAAACAUAUCAUUGAUGCUUUAAUGCAAUCUUAUGAAGAAAAACUUGAUUUGGAAGUUUCUAUCCCUAGAAAACUUUAUGAUGAGUGGUAACCUACUAUUAAAAUUAAAAUUAAAGAUCAUGAAUGCUAUGCUUUGUGUGAUUUGGGUGCUAGUGUUUCCACGAUUCCUAAUACUUUGUGUGAUUUGCUAGGUUUUCGUGAUUUUGAUGAUUGCCCUUUAAACUUGCACCUUGCGGAUUCCACUAUAAAGAAACCUAUGGGAAGAAUUAAUGAUGUUUUUAUUGUUGCAAAUAGGAAUUAUGUGCCUGUAGAUUUUAUUGUUCUUGACAUAGAUUGCAAUCCUUCAUGUCCUAUUAUUCUUGGUAGACCUUUCCUUAGAACGAUUGGUGCAAUUAUCGAUAUGAAGUAAGGGAAUAUUAGAUUCCAAUUUCCGUUAAGGAAAGGCAUGGAACACUUCCCUAGAAAGAAAAUUAAAUUAUCAUAUGAAUCUAUUAUGAGAGCCACUUAUGGAUUGCCUACCAAAGAUGGCAAUACCUAGAUAUAUCUUUGCUUUUAUGUCUAGCUAGGGGCGUUAAAAGAAUGCGCUUGUUUGGAGGCAACCCAAUUUUUUUAUUCCUUGGUUUUUGCUCCUGUUUAGUAUUAAAUAAUUUAUCUAGCCUAUGUUUUGGUUGUGUUUUUUGUGUUUAGUUAGUGUUUGUGCCAAGUAGAACCGUUGGGAAGACUUGGGGAAAGUCUUUUUAAUCUUGCUAUAAAAAACAGAAACUUUAGCGCUCACGAGAAUUGCUGUCAUUUUUAUUUGGAAAGUGCUAUUUAGUUAAUUAUUUUUAAGAUGAUUAAUAGAUAAAUUCCUCACGUCCAUAAAUUUAUUUUAGAAUUUGUGGGGUUCCAGAUCUUGCGUUAGCUACAGAUUACUACAGACUGUUCUGUUUUUGACAGAUUCUGUUUUUCAUGUGUUGUUUGCUUAUUUUGAUGAAUCUAUGGCUAGUAAAAUAGUUUAUAAACCAUAGAGAAGUUGUAAUACAGUAGGUUUAACACCAAUAUAAAUAAAGAAUGAGUUCAUUACAAUACCUUGAAGUGGUGUUUUGUUUUCUUUCGCUAACGGAGCUCACGAGAUUUUCUACUUUAAGUUUUGUGUUGUGAAGUUUUCAAGUUUUGGGUAAAAGAUUUGAUGGAUUAUGGAACAAGGAGUGACAAGAGCCUAAGCUUGGGGAUUCCCAUGGCACUCCCAAGAUAAUCUAAGGACACCUAAAAGCCAAAGCUUGGGGAUGCCCCGGAAGGCAUCCCCUCUUUCGUCUACUUCCAUCGGUAACUUUACUUGGAGCUGUAUUUUUAUUUACCACAUGAUAUGUGUUUUGCUUGGAGCAUCUUGUAUUAUUUGAGUCUUUAUUUGUUAUUUUUCCACAAUCAUCCUUGCUGUACACACCUUUUGAUAGAGACACAUGAUUCGGAAAUUGUUAGAAUACUCUAUGUGCUUCACUUAUAUCUUUUGAGUUAUAUAGUUUUUGCUCUAGUGCUUCACUUAUAUAUUUUAGAGCACGUUGGUGGAUUUGUUUUAUAGAAACCAUUGUUCUCUCAUGCUUCACUUAGAUUAUUUCUAGAGUCCUACAAAACAGCGUGGUAAUUUGCUUUAAUUAUGUUAGGCAUUCAAGAUUAAUAAAAAAAUUCUUAUGAGUGUGUUGAAUACUAUGAGAAGUUUGAUACUUGAUAAUUGUUUUGAGAUAUGGAGAUGGUGAUAUUAGAGUCAUGCUAGUUGAGUAGUUGUGAAUUUCAGAAAUACUUGUGUUAAAUUUUGUGAUUCCCGAAGCAUGCAGGUAUGGUGAACCGUUAUGUGAUGAAGUCAGAGCAUGAUUUAUUUAUUAAUUGUCUUCCUUAUGAGUGGCGGUCGGGGACGAGCGAUGGUCUUUUCCUACCAAUCUAUCCCCCUAGGAGCAUGCGCGUAAUACUUUGCUUUGAUAACUUGUAGAUUUUUGCAAUAAGGAUAUGAGUUCUUUAUGACUAAUGUUGAGUCCAUGGAUCAUAUGCACUCUCACCCUUCCACCAUUGCUAGACUCUCUAAAUAUCGCGCACCUUUCGCCGGUAUCAUACACCCACCAUAUACCUUCCUCAAAACAGCCACCAUACCUACCUAUCAUGGCAUUUCCAUAGCCAUUCCGAGAUAUAUUGCCAUGCAACUUUCCACUGUUCCGUUUACUAUGACACGCUCCAUCAUUGUCGUAUUGCUUUCCGUGAUCAUGUAGUUGACAUUGUAUUCGUGGCAAAGCCACCAUUCAUAAUUCUUUCAUACAUGUCACUCUUGAUUCAUUGCAUAUCCCGGUACACCACCGGAGGCAUUCACAUAGAGCCAUAUUUUGUUCUAAGUAUUGAGUUGUAAGUAAAUAAAAGUGUGAUGAUCAUCAUUUUUAGAGCAUUGUCCCAAGUGAGGAAAGGAUGAUGAAGACCAUGAUUCCCCCACAAGUCGGGAUGAGACUCCGGACUAAAUAAAAAAAGAGAAAAGGCCCAAAUAAAAAAAUAUAUGAGAGAAAAAGAGAGAAGGGACAAUGCUACUAUCCUUUUACCACACUUGUGCUUCAAAGUAGCACCAUGAUCUUCAUGAUAGAGAGUCUCCUAUCUUAUCACUUUCAUAUACUAGUGGGAAUUUUUCAUUAUAGAACUUGGCUUGCAUAUUCCAAUGAUGGGCUUCCUUAAAAUGCCCUAGGUCUUCGUGAGCAAGCGAGUUGGAUGCACACCCACUUAAUUCUUUUUGUUGAGCUUUCAUAUACUUAUAGCUCUAGUGCAUCCAUUGCAUGGCAAUCCCUACUCACUCUCAUUGAUAUCUAUUAAUGGCCAUCUCCAUAGCCCGUUGAUACGCCUAGUUGAUGUGAGACUAUCUUUCCCCUUUUUUUUCUUCUCCACAACCACCAUUCUAUUCCACCUAUAGUGCUAUGUCCAUGGCUCAUGCUCAUGUAUUGCGUGAAGAUUGAAAAAGUUUGAGAACACCAAAAGUAUGAAACAAUUGCUUGGCUUGUCAUCAGGGUUGUGCAUGAUUUAAAUACUUUGUGUGGUGAAGAUGGAGCAUAGCCAGACUAUAUGAUUUUGUAGGGAUAACUUUCUUUGGCCAUGUUAUUUUGAAGAGACAUAAUUUCUUAGUUAGUUUGCUUGAAUAUUAUUAUUUUUAUGUCAAUAUUGAACUUUUGUCUUGAAUCCUUCGGAUCUGAAUAUUCAUACCACAAUUAAGAAGAAUUACAUUGAAAUUAUGCCAAGUAGCAUUCCACAUCAAAAAUUCUGUUUUUAUCAUUUACCUACUCGAGGACGAGCAGGAAUUAAGCUUGGGGAUGCUUGAUACGCCUGCACGUAUCUAUAAUUUUUUUAUUGUUCCAUGCUAUAUUAUAUCCUGGCUUGGACAUUAUUGGGCUUUAUUAUACACUUUUAUAUUAUUUUUGGGACUAACCUAUUAACCGAAGGCCCAGCCCAGAAUUGCUAUUUUUUUGCCUAUUCUAGAGUUUCGCAGAAAAAGAAUAUCAAACGGAGUCCAAAUAGAAUGAAACCUUCGGGAACAUGAUUUUCGGAACAAACGUGAUCUAGAGGACUUGGACCCUAUGUCAAGACAUAAACCAGGAAGGCACGAGGUAGGGGGCGCGUCUACCACCCCAGGCGCGCCCUCCACACUCGUGGGGCCCAUGUUGCUCCACCGACGUACUUCUUCCUCCUAUAUAUACCUAAGUACCCCCAAACUACCAGAUACGGAGCCAAAAUCUUAAUUCCACCGCCGUAACUUUCUGUAUCCACGAGAUCCCAUCGUGGGGCCUUUUCUGGAGCUCCGCCGGAGGGGUUAUCAGUCACGGAGGGCUUCUACAUCAACACCAUAGCCUCUCCGAUGAAGUGUGAGUAGUUUACUUCAGACCUUCGGGUCCAUAGUUAUUAUCUAGAUGGCUUCUUCUCUCUUUUUGGAUCUCAAUACAAAGUUCUCCCCCUCUCUUUUGGAGAUCUAUUCAAUGUAAUCUUCUUUUGCGGUGUGUUUGUUGAGACCGAUGAAUUGUGGGUUUAUGAUCAAGUUUAUCUAUGAACAAUAUUUGAAUCUUCUCUGAAUUCUUUUAUGUAUGAUUCGUUAUCUUUGCAAGUCUCUUCGAAUUAUCAGUUUGGUUUGGCCUACUAGAUUGAUCUUUCUUGCAAUGGGAGAAGUGCUUAGCUUUGGGUUCAAUCUUGCGGUGUCCUUUCCCAGUGACAAUAGGGGCAGUAAGGCACGUAUUGUAUUGUUGCCAUCGAGGAUAAGAAGAUGGGGUUUAUAUCAUAUUGCAUGACUUUAUCCCUCUACAUCAUGUCAUCUUGCUUAAAGCAUUACUCUGUUCUCUUGAACUUAAUACUCUAGAUGCAUGCUGGAUAGCGGUCAAUGUGUGGAGUAAUAGUAGUAGAUGCAGGCAGGAGUCGGUCUACUUGUCUCGGACGUGAUGCCUAUAUACAUGAUCAUACCUAGAUAUUCUCAUAACUAUGCUCAAUUCUAUCAAUUGCUCAACAGUAAUUUGUUCACCCACCGUAAUACUUAUGCUCUCGAGAGAAGCCACUAGUGAAACCUAUGGCCCCCGGGUCUAUUCUCCAUCAUAUUAAUCUUCCAAUUCUUAGUUAUUUCCUUUGCCAUUUAUUUUACUUGCAUCUUUAUUUCUCUUUAUCAUAAAAAUACCAAAAAUAUUAUCUUAUCAUAUCUAUCAAAUCUCACUUUCGUAAGUGACCGUGGAGGGAUUGACAACCCCUUUAUCGUGUUGGUUGCGAGGAGUUUAUUUGUUUGUGUAGGUGCGAGGGACUCGUGCGUGGCCUCCUACUGGAUUGAUACCUUGGUUCUCAAAAACUACGGGAAAUACUUACGCUGCUCUGCUUCAUCACCCUUUCCUCUUCAAGGGAAAACCAACGCAGUGCUCAAGAGGUAGCAACUUUUGA